GUUUUUGGCAACGUUGAGACGAUGAAGAGAGGAGGCAAGGCGGCAGCAGCGCUCGUAAGUUUGCUGCCAAGUGAACCGGGUGCUUUCGUAUAUCAAAGAUGUUUUCCUGGCAUAAGCCACUGCUGCUCUCGUCAAGAAAUUUAUAGGAGUGAGGGCUGUGUAAUUUGCAGCAGACUUGGGUAGCCUGUCCAUGGCUUUAAUGUUUGUUAUGUUUUUCUCCUCCAAAGUACUGUUGCAAGAAAGAAUCGGUGGUUUAGAGAGAGAGAGAGAGAGAGAGAGAGAGAGAGAAGAGUAGGGGGAUGAGGGUGGGAUGAAGGGAAAAUGGCUUUAUAUAGAGAAAGUUAAAGGAUUAGGAGGGCAACAAGGCACGUUAUUUCGGUGGGAUGGAGGGGGGGGUGUUGGGAUGGAAACUCAUUAGGAAAUUGCCAAGAUAGGAGAGUUUGAACUAGAGACUCUUGACCCAAAAGCAACCUGCAUGGUUUUCACAUUAUGUGGAGGCUGCUUGACUACGCCCACUUCAUUUCUUUAAUUUUUAUUGAUUUCCCCUACCAUCUCUCUUCCCUCUCAAGUGCCCACACUCAACUUUCACUUAAUUAAUUAAGUUAACCAAUUAAGUAAAUAUUUUCUUAUUCAUCUACAGAAUCAUGGCUUAAAUUGUGGCCUAGGAAGAAAGAGGCUAUCACAGAGGCUAAUUUCCUCUCUGUUUCAAUUUGAAGUGGGAGCAAACUCUCAAUUUUCCAUCCACUCAACCGGAAAUACUCAGAAUCCAAAGCUUUACCAUAAUCACAAAGACAUGGUGAUUCACAAUGGCCUCUACUCCCUACACGUUACCUCUGUUCAUGGGUAUUGACACAUUCCACUCUGAAAUUUGGCAUUAAAAAACACAUGUCCUUUCAUACCACUGUCCAUCUGAUCAUCCACCUAACAAAUGUUUCCUGGUGGCGUUCAUGUGAUCACAAACAAUGAAAUGAAAUGGUGUCCGUGACAACGAAGAUGCCUGCAACAAAAUAGGAAAAUGGCAUUGGAAAAGGGAAAAGCAGCGUCUGUUCAUAUGCUUAAAAAUAACAAUAAGAAAAUGGGCUGUUUGGUAAUUUGACUAUUUCCUAUAAAUCAUAAUAAAUUAAUUACACAUUAAAUUAAAAAAGGAAACUGUACCAAUCCACCAAUCAGAUUUUAAUAUUCUGUUCCCACUAAACCCAACUACUUCAAUCAAUAUUAUUGUCAGAAAAAAAGAGUAAUUAGUUUUUGCUUGGUUGUUAGUGUAAGACUUAAAAGCUGAUUCCAUCACAUUUAAUUAAUGGAGAGGCAGAGAUGGGUUGGGGCUUGUUAAAGUGUAUGAAGUCUGUCUCCGUGCCACAUGCGGAGUAGUCUCUUCUCGUGGAAAUCAAUUAGCAUAACCACCAUAUGAAAUUAAAUAAUUUUUAAUAAUUAUUUUGCUAUUUUUCAUUGAGUCACCCAAUGACUUCCUUUUCUAUUCUCCAUUAGUCUUCCAAGAAACUAGACACGCAUUUUGAUUAUUGACUACGUAGACCUACGAGGUUGGUGUCCUUUUCUAGAAGGGUAUUUCCAUGAAUUUAUGAAAGUAGACUUUUUGGGGCAAUUUCCAAGCACUGCACCGGAAGCCAAUUGCAUCAACUUUCCUUGCUACUUUCUUAUUUCUUUUUUUUCUUCCAUUAACAUGUAGAAAGUAAGCACCCGUGGUUUCUUUGAUUCCUUGACGUUUUAGGAGUCAAGACUCGAGUGCCCUCUUCCUCGCAAGCCUCUGCCCGGCACUAAGAAAUUAACAAUGCCAUAUUCAAUUACCUACCAUGAAAAUAAAGUUUUUUAAUAACGUGACAAUGCCAUAUUCGAUUACCUAUCAUGAAAAUAAAGUUUUUUAAUAACACGUCAAAUUAACAAAUUUUGAAGGAAACAAAAUCGCACUUUCGCAUUACCACAAGAUAUAUAUAUAUAUAUAUAUAUAUAUAUAUAUAAUAAUUUAAAGAAAAAAAAAAGAAAAGAAAAAAAAAAAGGAAAACUCUAGUUAGACUUCUCUUCCCAAAAAAAGCAAAGAAUCACGUCCUAUUCAUGGCAUGGUGAAACAAAAGCCUGUUGUGUGUGAUUAGGAAAAUGAAGUUACCCCGUCUGAGAAUUGACAUUAGUUGUGGAAAGCACUCACAUUGCCACUCUGUCCCCUUGGUCUUGUGUCUUUGCUUAUGCUUUUGUUAGUGUAGGGGACCCAUGAAACCUUGUCUCCCCACCUUUAUUAUGGCCGCCUUUGAAUGAAUGCCUUUAGCUUAGAAUUAGAAGUUUGGUGUAAAAUUAUAUUCCAUUUUCCACCAGGGCCAUGACCAUUGCUAGGCCUAGGGCAAUAGACAAUUUGUCUCUUGGUCUAUUUAGGCUUUUACAAAUAAUUCCCUUUCGCAAGUUAUGACCAUGACCACUACAAUGACCUUGACCCCACCUCUUGGAAAGUAACUUCCUUGAUUCUGCAUUCUAGACUUGGGUCAUCAUGGGCAUGGCCCCAAGUAAAUUUUUUUCCCCUGGGAUAUAUAUAUAUUUUAUCACACCACCGACCACCCACCGCUUCAAUCGGAAAAUCCACACUAAUGAAGCUUUCCCUUUCGCUUUAUACUAUAUAUAAAUAACUAGCUAGCUAGGAUUGUUAACUUGAAAGAGUUAUCCUAGAUAGGUAGUUAAAAAUCAACCAGCCAAUGAACCAGGGAUGAGAAGAUAUCUAACUUUAUGGAGAUAAAGAUGAGCAGGAGACGUUAUGGUGACCAAUGAACUGGUUUGGAUGGGGAGACUACAGAGAGAUUUUUGGUAUAUUUUAAGAGAAAGGUGAUCGAUCUAGAUCAUGUUUACAACAACCAGCCAAUAGUAAGUAAUCAUUCCAUUUGUAAAUGCUCUUGGUAGAUAUGGUCAAAAUCAUGACAUCACUCUUACGGGUCUAAACUUUUCCGUAUCAAUUGUCAUCAAAUUUUAAUUUACUUUUGCAACUUAUGCACGUUUCCCUCUCUUACCAUCUACAGUAGGCUCAUCAAGAUUUUUAUGUGCAUGAUUCAUAUCACCAUUUUCAUCUAGAUUUUCAUUCUUUCUUUUUUUUUUCUUUUUUUCUUUUUUUCAGAUUCCUCCACAAAAGACCACAUUUUCGUUUCCAUUUUGAGGAAAAGGAUCCCAGAAAGGAGAUGAUGAGAGUGUGGCAAAGGUCCAAUCUCUUGAACUUUGUCAAAAAAAUAAUAAUCUCAAUAAAACUAAGCAAUCUUCCAAAAGAAAAUUGAUUAUGUUUCCAGAAGGGGAAAUAAAUGGGCAUUCCCUCUGGUAAGUGCACAUUACUGGCAUAACUAGGGAAAAGCAGUGUCAACAAUGUUUAUAUAUCCUGUCUAUUUACCAAGUAUGUGCCUGCAAUCAAUAUAUGAAAGUGUCAGGUUUACAUUCCAUCUAGAGCUAAAGAAGAACUCUCGUUGUGCUUGUAUUCAAACAAGGGACAAGUCAAAUGGUUCAAUCAAGCUCUCAAACGAACCCAUUCAUUAGGAAUUCAACUGCUUUUAUUGUGGAAUCAGCCAAAUUAAUUAACAUCAAUGCUUCCUAGCCGGCUAGAGUAUGUACCUGUUUGUUUGUUAAUUAGCAUUGCAAAAGGGUUGAUAUUUAUGUGCUUCUUGCUUUGUCAUUAAGCCCAAAGCUCAUUUGUAAACAAUAUUUGAGGAAAUAUUAUUCUCUAGUGGUAGUGUAUGUGUUCUUGCAUUUUAGACAAACGUCUCUAUAAAAUGCAGAUUGCAAACACUUCCUGUGGGACCCUCUAUGCAAGGCUGUCUUGAAGUCCACCACUCUCUUACGAUCGUUUGGUUAGAGGUACCAAUUGGAAAACCACCCUCAUCCGGAUGGGCCCUACGACCCUUAGGCCGAGUGACUGAUUCGUCUCAAAGUAGGUCAGGCGGAUAAAUUCUGCAUGGAUACAACAUGGCUAAAGCAUGACCGUCUAUCAUGCAUUUACACAUCCAUUAAUGCGCAGAUUGUGCGCUUAACACGCUCCAUGUCAACUACAACCGUUAUGGGAAACAUUCCAUUCUCAAUGGCUCAUCAUGGCGAGACAACCGUUAUGCAUCGACAAUCAAUGCCAUCAAAUUGCACAAUCAAGUGUAAUUAAGGUGCUAUUAAGACACAAGUAAGACGUUACACUGUAAAAAGUAUAAAUAACCAUGCAGACAUUACAAAUAAAAAAAAAAAGGUUUUCUUUUUGAAAAAGAAUUUGACUUGCUUAAGUCACUUACUAACUUUAGCAUCGAAGGGGCAUGUCCGGACAAACCAUCGGGACAACAUUUGUAUAAGAAUUAUAGUCGUCUGCCUCUAGAGGAACUUAAACGAAAUUGUUGGUCAUCUCCUUCAUCUAGCUCGUGGCAGCUAGACGAGACUACCCGCUCGAAUUGUGCAACAACAUUGACAUCGUUUGUGGGAAAAUUGAACCAAAAGCAUAUUAGCACGAUGACCAAUACAUUUAAUGCAUCCCAAUCAGCCACUGUGGCUAACCAAUUCCAGGCUUGGCAAGCACGAAUGGAAAGAAAGCAAGAAGAAAAUGAACAUCGAAUGCAGUCAUUGCUUCAGCAAGUCGAACAGCUGAAACGUGAAAAUCAAGAGUUACGGGCUCAGAUGGCUAAGGAGCAUCACUCACAGAGCCAUCACACCUUUCCCCAACCAGCCAACCCUGACCGGAGUUGUAGCCAAACGACAUGCUUAUCUCAACGACAUGUAGAGUCGUCUCACCAAAUGCAUAAGGAAGACUUUUCCUCUAGCCACUUUCCUACUUGGCCCAAACAGCCUUAUGCCUUAACCGACCAGUCCCACCCUGACGAGGCUGCUAGCUCCAGUAGAGGAAAGCGAAAAAAAAGGGACAACAACAGGGCUCCUGCCUAUCAAACGCUAUGAGGGCUUGCCUAGGGCCCCAAGACCAACAAACCUAGGCAUUCUCAUGCAUAUCCGAUGCCUUGAAGGCGCGGUUGGGCCAACCAAAACAUGAGGCACCACCAAGCUUUCAAUCUCCACAGUCAGAGUUGCCAGCUAUGCCCGAGCCCACAAGAAGGCACCCUUAGGCUCUAUCAGUCGACGGUUGGAUGAUAUGCUCUCCACAUCAUUCGACCCUCAUAUCAUAAGCUACAAACCUCCCAGAAGGUUCUUGGUGCCCAAGUUCACUAUGUACAAUGGUACAAGUGACCCAUUUGAUCAUCUGCUGCACUACCGACAAUUGAUGACAUUGGAUAUUGGGAAUGAUGUGCUGCUCUGCAAGGCCUUUCCUGCAAGCCUUCAUGGUUUGACCUUGUCAUGGUUUCAUCGCCUCCCUCAAAACUCCAUCAAUUCGUUUUUGGAUGUUUUUGAGGCAUUUGUCGACCACUACUUAUGUUCUACACGUUAAAAACAAAAUAUAAGCACCUUGCAGAAUAUUAAGAUACAAGAGAAUAAAUCGCUAAGGGACUUCAUGAAGCAAUUUGGGCAAAUGGUACUUCAGGUGGAGUCCUACAACAUGGAUGCCAUUUUUUAGAUUUUUAAGGAAAAUAAAGCCUCAACACUCUACUCUUUGAGUCCUUAGCCAAAAAUAUGUGCCUGCCUUGAUGGACGAUUUGUUCAGACGGGCAGAUAAGUAUGUUAUGCUCGAGGAUGAUGUUUGAGCAGUUUUUCAAUAGGUUUUGGUCACUAACCGGCCAACAAAAAUAGCAAAACUAGAAGCUCAAAGUCCCCAAAAAACCAGUCCAGAUAGAAGGGAUGGAAGCAAAAUGGAUGACAAUAGUAGUCUCUUAACUCACCUCGUUGACCGUCUCUUAUGAGUAGCUCCUUUUGUUGAUUCAAGAGUUGUCCAAGUUCAGAUGACCAGAACCAAUCAAGACUAAUUCGACCAAGAGAGACUGGAAAUGACGAUGCUCUUACCAUAAAGAGCGUGGACAUACCACGAAGUAGUGCAAGAACCUACACUACUUGGUAGAAGAGCUCCUUAAAUCUAGACACCUAAAACAAUAUGCCCAUGCCCCCGGUGAACAAGGCAAAGAAAGAGCAGCCUAAUAGGUCCCUCCGUCUCCUGCAACACCUAGAGUAGUCAUCAACUAUAUACAUGGCGGGCCCGUAGAUGACAAGUACCACUCCUGAAGACAAAGGCAAAGGCCUAGUUUGUGUAGCCUCUAUAAGAGAGAGAGUGCAUAUAGUUCAAUGCAUGUUUAUUGAUGACAGUGUCCGACCGAUAAACGAACCCGUUACUUUCCUUUCCAUUGACUCCAAUUGGGUAAUCCUUCUGCACAAGGAUGCCCUGAUCUUAACACUUAGAGUCAGCAACUUUGAUGUGCGCAAAAUUUUAGUUGAUCCAAGAAGCUCCGUCGACCUCCUACAAAUGUCAACCUAUAGGCAAAUGUGGUACUCUCCGUCUUCUUUAGAAAAUCUUAGCCGUAUUUUUAUCAGAAUUAAUAGAGCAUCAACAAUCUCCUUGGGCGAUGUCAUCCUUCUUGUCCAAGUUGGCUCGAUCACCUUAAAUGUCUGAUUCUCAAUAGUGAAGGACUUAUCACCAUACAACACUAUUAUGGAAUGGGUAUGGCUGCACAAAAUGAAAGUUAUCCCAUCCACAUAUCAUCAAAUGGUGAGUUACCUCAUUGAAGCUGGACAAGUGGACUUGCUUGGUAGCCAAUUGGCUGCCCAACAAUGCUACCAAGUAACUGUAAAAGUCGGGCAAAUAGACCCAACUGGAGAUGAACCUGAAUCAUCAAGUGCAAAGUGUAAAUAACAAUUAUAGUAGCAGACAGAGAGAGGUCCACCGACUACUAAUCCUCUAUUGUCCUUAACCUUAUCAGAUGAGGAAGGUCAUAAGACCAAUGCUAACUCUUUGCUAACAAUGGAGGAACGUAGUAACAUAGAAGCCUUACUCCGCCGAAAUGUGAAUAUCUUUGCCUGAAGCCAUAUUUGGAUAUGCCAAGAAUCAACUUGUCUAUGGCCGCUCAUAAAUUGAAUAUUCUCCUCAACAUGUGUCUAAUGAGACAGAAAGUCCAAAGCUUCCACCCGGAUCGCCAUAAAAUAAUAUAAACGGAAAUUGAUAAGCUACUGGUUGUUGGCUUUAUCCGGUAAAUUACCCAUCCAGAUUGGUUGCCCAACGUCAUGGUGGUACCAAAGAAUGGAGGAACUUGGCGGGUGUGUGUGUGGACUAUACAAACUUAAAUGACACUUGCCUGAAGGAUAGCUUCCUUUUGCCCCAAAUUGAUCAGAUUGUUGAUUCUAUGUCUAGGAACGAACUGCUCUUCUUCCUAGACAUUUUCUCUAGUUACCACCAAAUCCCCAUGUUCCAUCCUGAUAAAGAAAAAACGACCUUUGUCACACCUCAUAGACCAUAUUGCUAUAACAUCAUGCCUUUUGGGCUAAAAAAUGCAGGUGCAAUGUAUCAGAGGCUGAUGACAAAAAUCUUCAAACCUUUGAUGAGAAGAACAGUGGAGGUAUACAUUGACGACAUAAUUGUCAAAAGUAAAACCCGCAUGGAACACAUGCAACACUUGGAAGAAGCAUUUGCCCUAAUGGGAAAGUAUAAUAUGAAACUUAACUCACUUAAGUGUGUGUUUGACAUUAGCGCGGGUAAGUUUCUUGGUCUUUUGGUGACUCAAUGAGGAAUCGAAAUAAAUUUGAACCAAGUGAAGGUCGUGCUUGAGACACCUGUUCCAUCUACUAAGAAGGAAAUGCAAUGAUUAACAAGUCAUCUUGUACCAUUGGGUCGAUUUAUAGCCAUGUUCACUAAUAAGCUCUAUCCGUUCUUCACUACUUUGUACGGAGCACAAAAUUUUAGCUGGACAGAAGAUUGCAAUAGUUUCCUUGAUGCUAUUAAGCAUUGCCUCACAAAACCUCCCAUCUUAAGUGGUCCAAAGGAGGGAAAAGAACUAUACAUGUGUCUUGCUAUCUCAGACUAUGCAGUCAAUGUCGUUCUAUUCUGAAAAACCCAAGAGGAUGGGCAAAAAUUCGUCUACUACGUGAGUAAGGCACUGGUGGACACCAAGACCCAGUACUCUCAAGUAGAAUAGAUGACGCUAGCAUUGCAUGCUGCUAUUAAAAAGCUUCGUUCAUACUUCCAAGCACAUCAAGUGACAAUCUUGACAAAUCAAUCAUUGAGGAUCACCUUGCACAAGCCAGAUCUAUUUGGAUAGAUGAUGAAGUGGGCUAUUGAGUUGAGUGAGUAUGACAUACAAUACAAGCCAUGCUUGUCACUAAAAGGUCAUAUCCUCGUAGACUUUAUAGCUAAGCUACCCUAAAAAACGGGUGCAGACUGACACCAUCAACCAUUGGUCAAUCUUGGAUGUAGACGGAGUAUCAUGAGCAUCAAGGGCUGGAGUAGGGCUCGUACUACUCUCCCUUACUGGGGAGCCGAUUGAGCAGUCUGUUUGCCUCAAUUUUUCCACAUCUAAUAAUGAGGCUGAAUAUGAGGCAAUUAUAGUUGGCCUCGAACUUGCCUAGACACUUGCAACAUCGAAGAUAGAAACACGAUGUGACUCCCAAUCAGUGGUCGGGCAAAUCCAACGAGAGUAUGAGGUUAGAGAUGAACGUAUGGUUCGCUAUCUCAGUGGAAUGGAAUCCCGUUUAGCUAAGCUAUCUAAUUGGAGAGUCAAACGUAUUCCCCGUGAAGAGAACGGAAAAGCAAACGCGCUAGCAAAAGUUACCGCCACCCUGCCCAUCACUGAAUCUAUCAUGCUGCCAGUUUAUGUCUAACCCAUGCCUUCUAUUACUUCAAAACGGAUCCAUGAUGUGGCCCAUGUAGGUGUAGGGCGGAUGCACCUCAUUGCCAAUUACCUCCACAUUGGUGAGGUUCUGAAGGACAGAAAAUAAGCAUAUAAGCUCCAUAUUCAGGCUGCCCGAUUUACUUUGAUCAACGAUCAAUUGUACAAACGGUUUUUUGGGGGGCCUUUUCUGAAAUGUUUGUCUAAUUUGUAUGCUCAAUAUGUUUUGGCUAAAUUGCAUGAAGGUGUAUGUGACAACCACCUAGGAAGACGAACCUUAGUGCAUUAAGCCUAUUCACAAGGCUAUUACUGGCCUACAAUGAAACAGGAUGCUAAAAAUUAUGUCUGUAGAUGUGAUCAAUGUCAAAAGCAUGCACCUAUCCCCCGAUUGCCAUCCGAUUGCUUAAACCCAGUAGCCAGUCCUUGGUCGUUUACUCAGUGGGGGAUGGAUAUAGUCGGCUCAUUACCAACCAACGUAGCUAAAAAAAAACUCUUGCUCGUAGCAACUACUUCAAUAAAUGGGUAGAAGUUGAGGCCUAUGUUAGCAUCAAAGACAAAGACAUAACAAAGUUCGUCUGGAAAAACAUUAUAUGCCGAUUUAGAAUUCCUCAUGCAAUUGUCACAAACAACGGGCCGCAAUUCGAUAGUAGUAUCUUCCGCGAGUUUUGUUUGGAAUUAAAGAUAAAAAAUGUUUAUUCAACACCUCGGUAUCCACAAAGCAAUGGGCAAUCAGAAACAACAAAUAAAACAUUGUUAAAUUCCUUAAAGAAAUGAUUGGAAAUGGUAAAAAGUAAAUGGGUAGACAAAUUGUCUAGCAUACUGUGGGCUUUAGACGGCGUACUAGGGUCACCCCGUUUGCCCUUGCAUAUGGAAUGGAAGUUGUCAUUCCCACCAAAUAAAGGCUACCCACGGUUAGGACAAUAAUGUAAGAAUCAAAAGCCAAUGAAGGAAAUCUUGAAGAACACUUAGACUAGGCGAAUGAGGAGCAUGAGGUCCGUAGCUGUCCGAUUUGCCUCUUAUCAGUAAAAAAAAAGGCUCAUUACAACAAGAGAUCGCGCCCACGAUUGUUCCAUCCAGGUGAUAUGGUCAUGAGAAGAGUCUUUGAGGACACAACUGAAAUAGGAGCUAACAAGCUCCAACCCAAUUGGGAAGGGCCUUAUGUUGUAUACAAAAGGAAAGGAGCGGGAGCGUACCAUCUGCAGACACUAGAUGGAACGUCACUGCUCCAUCCUUGGAAUGUAGCAAAUUUGAAGAAAUACUAUCAAUAAACAAGUUGUGCAUAAAUCAUGUUUGUACUUCAUUUUUAUACGAUGAAAUAAGCCAGAUUGUAAAUGACUAAUAAGUUGGAUUGUAAAUGGCAUGGCUAAUACGACCCGAGCCAUGAAUCUAAAGAACAUCAAGGCAUAGCCUAAGCGGCACUAGGCUUAAAGCUCACAUGGGAGAAAGGCUAAAAAGCCCAAGAUACUUAAUAUCACUCAAGGCCAAGGGAAUAACUUGAGCCAAGUAGUGAAUAUGAUGGUGCAAAAUCAAAUACUCAAAAAAAUUUCACAAAACAUGAAAACCAAGACAUGGAAACUCAUUGAAAAAUGUGUUCAUUUAUAUCACCCAAAAAGGGAAAGACCAAAAGGUCGAUGUCCAUACAAUCAAAAGGCCUAAGCAGCCAAAAGAAAGGAAAAUAAAAGCAAUUGUAUCUUAAUCUUCACGGUCGGUUGUUGCAUAUUUGUCUCCUAUUCCUAAGUCGUAUCCUUGCCUAACACCAUCAUCUAGCUCAACCUCAUCCUCCUCGUUUGAUAGAAUGUUGUUUAUAUCAUCAGUAAUGCCAUGUUUCUUCAUACAACAUUGGUAGUUGUAAAAAAACAUAUCAUCCACUUAAUGUUGAUAUGCUGCUUCCAACUCAUUCUCCUUGGCAAAGCUGAACAUGGUCUGCUCGAGCUUCCGCUUUAGUUGAGCACUUUCUUCCUCAACUUUGGCCUUAGACGAUUCAAUGGCGGCCAAAUCCAAUUUCAGCUGGCAGAUCUCGGCCUGGAGCAUAUCAUUCCUCAUCUCUGUCUUCCUCAGUAGACCUGCAUCGCACCCUUAACUACCGCCUUCCUUGCGGUGGCUUCAUCUGCUUUGGCCAUCUCCAGUUUGGCAAAUAGCUCCCUCUAGUAGUCCAUGCCAUGAGCUCUAUAUGCUUUAAUUUUUUUAGCUACCUUCAGCGAUUAAAAAAAAUGAGAGCAUUGCCUCAUCAAGUUUCAAACCCUAACUACAAUUUGUCAUUAAGAACCAUUGAGAAAAAAAUAAGGAAAAAUAGAUAUGGAGAUCACAUGCAUUAUGUUUAAAAGAUAUCAUAUCACUUCCACCGUUUGCAUGGUCGAAUAAUCCUUUAAGCGUAUGAUCGCUUCAAUGGUCUCUCUCGAGGCCCCAUGUGGGACACGGGCCAUGAAGUUUUGCUGAGGAUCUACAAUCAUGUCCACUGGAAUUUGCCCCAUUAUAGGGAAGAGCUAGUUUAUAUGGGAAGUUAUAGGCUCCAUGUUAGUAAAUAUAGGGAAACGCUCCAAGAGAACAUCUAACUCUUCCCGACUAGGCACGUCGAUGGGAGCAGUCAACAAAGUAUGUGCACUAGCUGUAAAGUCAUCACCAGAUAUGGUGACCUUCUCCCCUAGCCCGUGGAAAGGAAUGCUUUCCACAUCCUGUGCCUUAGAAGCAGGUAGAGACGGAUGAAUCGAUAUCGAUGAAGCAUUGGCAGCAAGCCUGGAGAACGAGCCAUUUUCGUUUGUCAUUUGUUUCUUUGAGGAAGACCCGACUUCAAUGACCUCGUUCAGUCAUUUAUGUUGCAACUCAUGAAAUCCGGCUCGUAGAUUGGCAAUCAUUUCUUCUUCUUCAGCUUCUUCGAUUAUAGGUGGCACAACUGGCUCAACAGUCUCACACCACACAAUUUGCUCUGCUCCGAACGUUUCGUCCAACUCGAUCAUGGUCUCUUGAACCUGAGGCUGAACAACAGUCUUCUUUUUUACUAGUUGGUGGGCUAGAUUUGAAGCCACCCCGGAAAUGGAGCCGAGGCUUGACAUAAAGUCCCAUCUUGACGCUUUUUCUCGUGAGCGUCUAGACGGGCUUGUCUCACCUCGGCAUUAGCAAGACAGACAACCUUAUAGAAAGACAAAUCCUUUAGCAUGAAGUACUCACUCGACACAAGGGUUGGUGGUGUUAGCCACAAAAAAAAGAAGAAAGAUUACAAAUGGCUUCAUUUGGGUAAUUACAACCCUCAGAUUCUUCUCGGUGAACAACACAUUGUGACUUCAUUCAAACUGGUCAAUCUCAAAUAGUUUGUUGAGUCGAGCGAAUGAUGACUUCUCUACCCACUCAACCAAGUAGCCUCGUCUAUCUUUGCUAGCACGGACAACACAUAUUAAUGGAAGUCACAAGAAAGUGAAAGUAAGCAAUAGAUAAGUCCUAUAUGAGUUGUGAAAACGUUCAAUACUUGGUAUUUUUAAAAAAUGUGUGGGCUUAAAUAGCCUAUUUGGGCCCUCAGUUGAUCCAUUCCAUGGACUAGACACUAGCACAUGUCUUUUGGCCCAACUCUUACUGGAGUUUGACAGUCCGAUUACGAACUGCAAAGAGGAGAUGUGAGUCGAUAGACUAAAGCAUUCCUUGCGGCUCAUUUUAUUAUGUAGAUGAGCAACACUUCCAACAAGAACAAGUCCAACUGGUAUAAGGUGUCUAGUACACUGCAUCUCAUCAAAAUUUGGAUGACAUUGGAAUGAAUGAAGGUAAGAGGGAUUCAGGAGAAAUGCAAGAAUUGCUUCACCAACGAGGGAAUGGGUAGAUGGAGUCCCACUACAAACUGUUCUUUGGUGAAAUAGAUCAUGUUGUUAGGAAGCUUGUCUAUAAAUGAAGUCUUUCCAUCUAAUAAGCUAGAUAGAGAUAGACUCUGAGAUGUAGCAGCGAGCAUAGAACUCCUGCUUGGACAACUUGCCAAUUAGAUGCUCCAUUAGGGAAUGACUAGACCGGGAUGAUUAGCCCUCCCGUACUAAGUUCUGCAACUUGUACAUGCGACCCCACUUUUGUCUAUAUUUGCAAACGGAAAAAGGGUUGAAUAGACAGUUGCACGGUAGAAGUGCUAACUAGUUAGCACGGGGAUUCCCUACAAAGACACUUGACUGAAAGCUAUGCUCAUCACACGAAUCCUACCCUAAACGGCUUGACACUAAACUUGUUGUGCAAGUCAUGUCUAAACAACGUCAAUAAUCUCAAACCAUGACCUCGCCUAAGCCUAGAAACGCUGCAUAACUCUCAGAAUGCCAAUAAAAGGCAAACACAAACUCCAAAUCCACAACUAGAUUGAUACAAGAACAUAUUUCGGCAAAAUAUAUGGAACACACAAGUAGAAACCACGAAGAAAGUGCAUUCAUCAGUGAAGAAGAAGCCAUAAAAAUAGAGAUCAAAGAGGAACUCAAUACCUAGUAAAUUGCAUUGUGAUGGAACAAGAAUCACCUCAUCGAAAAUGGACCGCCGACAAUGGAGAUUUUGAAGGCCUAAAGUGUCCUCGAUGGAGAGAAGGAAAAUUACCAAAAAGUAAUAGUAAAGGAGAAAUGAACCAUCCGCCUAAAAGCAACCAACUCGACGAAUGAGCAUGUGACACAUGGAUUUUGGGCGCCAUGGUUUCAAAAUCUCCAAAAGUCACAACACUUGCAUUUGCCCGUCUGACGUCUACCCGAGCCUAACUGUAAGACUUGGGGAGCAUUAUGGGACUCUUUAUGCAAGGCCGUCCUGAAGUCCACCACUUUCUUACGAUCGUUUGGCAAGAGGUGCCUUCUAGAAAACCGCCCUCAACCGGAUGGCCCUAUGGCCCUUAAGCCGGGUGAUUGAUCCAUCUCAAAGUAGGUUAGACGGAUAAAUCCUACACAAAUAUAUCAUGACUAAGGCAUGACCGUCUAUCAUGCAUUUACACAUUCAUUAAUGCGCAGAUUGUGCGCCUAGCACACUCCAUAUUAACUACAGUCGUUAUGGGAAACAUUCUAUUCUCAACGGCUUAUCAUGGCAAGACAUUCGUUAUGCAUCGACAAUCAAUGCCAUCAUAUUGCACAAUUAAGCGCAAUUAAGAUGCUAUUAAGACACCUGGUAAGACGUUACACCACAAAAGGUAUAAAUAGUCAUGCAAACUCUACAAAUUUCUUGUAUUUUCACCUGAGCUGUUCAUUUUUAUCUUCAGAAUCGAUUAGAAAAUGUGUGUUUUUAUUUUAUUUUAUUUAUUUUAUUGUUAGUUCAAUGUUUUGAUUGCGUCGUGUAACCCAAAAAAAAGAGCUUUCUUUCUGAAAAAUAAUUUGAUUUGCUUAAUCCACUUACGGACUUUAGCAUCGGAGGGGCGUGCUCGAACAAACCAUCCAGACAACCUUUGUGCAAGGUUUAUAGUUGUCUGCCUCUAGAGGAACUUAGACGGAACUGUUGGUCAUCUCUUUCAUCCAACUUGUAGCAGCUAGACGAGACUACCCGCUCAGAUUGUGCAACAACACUUCCCAACCAAUUUUUAUACAAACAUGCUUUAAGAGAUGACAUUGUGCAUGAAAAAUUAGGGGAGAGGUAUACAAAUUGGUCCUCUUUGAUAGGUCUACAUAACUCAUAUGAAGAGAAUGUUGUUGUCCUGCCCAAUUAUUUUCAGUGAAAUGCUGAGAGGAGCCACUUUGUUGUGUCUCUUUCUCUACCCAUGCUAAGAGUUUAAACCAAAAUGUCUCAAACUCAUAUCACCAAAAAUAUGGUUUUACAUUCUUUUUGGUGCUUGGGAUAGAAAAGGAAGUAGAAAUGAUAAUGAAAGUGAAUUAUAAUAUUACAUAUGAGAUUUGUGUUAGUAAGAAAAGUUUUAAAUUUUUAGAUGUUUUUUUGAAGUCAUUAAGGCUUAUUUGACCUUUAAAAAGCUGAACACACAAAUACUCUUAAGUCACCAUAAACCUUGAUGGACAAUAUUUUUAAAAACAAUUUUCAGAAAGUAAUUUUUAAGAGUUGUUCUUGUGAAAGGAAUACUCAAAUCGUUUUUAAAAACAAAAUUUUGUUUAAGAAUUAAAAUAUGAAAAAUAUUUUUUUUAAAAUAUUAUCAAUAUUUUUAAUUAUUUCUCAUAAUACUUUAUAAAAAUUUAUUAUUUUAAAUAAAAAUUAAUCAAAUAUAGAUAUAUUAUUUGUGUGUGAAUGUGAAUGCAAAGGACACUUUCAAAUGCCCUCACUCUUUUCUCUCUUUUUUUCUCGGAGCGGUAAAGUAUGAAAGCAUUUAUUUGAAUUCUAAAAAAACAAAUUGUGUCGAAAAAAUAAAGAAAGUAGAGCCACGUAAAUUGGCAAAGACAUGAGCAUUGAGCAAUAGUAAAUAAGACGGGGAGGAGAAUCUCAUCCAAUUCAGCGUGUCCAAACUCCAAAUUUUAGGUUUGGGUGACACCUGUCCUCUCCGUCGUAGUCGUGAAAUAAAAAUCAAAAUCAAUUUGUCACCGACUCCCUUGAAAUUCACUAAUAUUUUGGUCAUGGUUUGCUGGGAAUUUAAAUUCCAACUUAAAAUUGUACCUAAAAUGAGAAUACACAUGCAUGAUGUCCUCUCCUUCUCAAUCAUAUGAAUGCAAAUACUAUUACUCUGUUAGAAUCUAUGAAGGCUCACCCACCCCCAGCGCUCCUGCGGCCUCUCGUGAAGUGCGUGGACCAGUGGAUGUUUACAACCACCAUAAGACUCAAGACACUUGGCCAUCUCUCGUUUCAUAUUUCAUUUCACAAGUACAAGUUUAAUAAUAAUACGCGGCUGAGACUUGUGCUUCUUCUCUCCAGAAGGGGGGCCAACAGACAUGAAAGCUGAGGCACAGGACUUGUGACCCCAGUGAGUUGGCCCCCCAUGUGGCCAUUUGAAAAGCAUCCUAAAAACGAUGAAAGUGGGGUUGGUGGGGUAGAUGCUUCCAAGGCUCGAGGACAUGGCUUAAUGGACUGUGCUGGAACUGGAGUAAUUAAGCCCACUAUUUCACGCUUCAGAACCUCUCAAUGGGCAAUCAAAACGACAAACCGGUACAAACUAACCGUGUAACAUCCCUAUCUUAAAUGUGCUUUAAUUUUAUUUUAUUUUUUUAAAUUUAUUUUCAUUUAAAAGAUACCGAUGUAUUUUAAAAUUUUAAAAAGACUUACCUUGAUUAUAAAUAUAUUUAUAUAAUUUUAAAAUUUUAAAAAUUAUAAGUGAGAUUUUUUUUGUCCUUUUAGCCAUCCAGUGUUUAUUUUGUUGUGGUUUCUUUGUGUUAAAAGAGGGAAAAAAAAAUUCUGAAUAACCUUGAUUCGAAGAAGAGUUGGAAAGAAAAAUCUACAAGUUAAAGGCGUGGAUUAAUUCUUUUAAUAAUUUGAGUAACUUCUUCAAGAUAAGAGUUAAUAGUGCAAUAAUUUAUUUUACAAUUCUCUAUCUAUUUUUCAUAUGUUUUUUAAAGUAUUAAAUAUUUGAAUUCUCUAAAGUAGAUCAAGUAAUAUAUUUAUUUUUAAAAAUAUGUUUUGAUUUUUUUCCCUAAUUUGUUAAAUAAAUUAGGAAUAUCAUAUCAUUUGUUUAUUAUUUUAUAAGUGAAUUUUAUCGCUUAAUUUAUUAUAAUGAUUUUGAAAAUCUAGCUAUUAAUGACACUAAUUAAACGGGUAUAAGUUGUUGAUCUUCAUUACCCUUGGUGAGGGUAGUGUUGGGGUGGGGUUAGUGAUGCAGUGCAACCUUAGCCUAUGAGGAUGUUAUUGACCUUUGGCAAAUCAACAAAUCAUUGAUUGGAAAUCAAUUAGUCCACCAAUAAAAAGAAACUUUUGAAGCUAGCUACCUAAUGCAAGUUCCACUAUUUAGGCAUAAUGUUAUUGUAAAUAAACUAGAGUAAAAUAUUUGUAUGUGAAAUUCUCUUGAUUAUACAAUGUGCAGUAUGUUAUUUUGUUUUUGAAUUGAAAGUGUUAAAUGUUAUAAAGAAAGUAAAUUUAAUUAUUGAAAAUUUACUUUUUAAUUGACUUUUAUAAAGAAAAAAAUUAAUAUCUCCUAAAUUUAUUUUUGUAUUAGACUUAUCAUUCUUAUUGAAAUAUUUCUUCCUUAUUGAGUUACCAAGCUUACCCUUCUAUAUUAUUCCCUUUUAUAGAUACAAAGGACAUCUAGGAAGAGAAAUUGGGAUAGGAAGGGCUUUAAAAUUUGAUUAUUUAGGAUUCUCAAGUUAAAUUAUUCUAUCAAAGUGUUUGAUUUUUUUAUUUUUUUUUCAAAUUUUGGAUUUAAAUGACAUUCAUGUUUUGGACUCUAGAGUUUUUUUUAUCUGAAAUGAUCAUGGUGCCCUAGGCCUCUAGAUUCGAGGUGUCACAGAAUAGUAUUAGAUUAUGUGAAAUGAUCGUGGUGCCCUUCACCUCUAGAAUCAAGGUGUCACAGAAUAGUAUUAGAGCUAUAGGUUAGGCCCCAUAGACCUUUUUUACUUAGUUGGGAUUGGGUUAUAAAAUGUGUAACAAAUCAUCUCCACUUCUUCAUAUAAUGCUAGUUUCUUUCAAUAUAAAACUUAUCCUAAUUAAGGUUUUUUCACAUACUACAUUUUCUACCUUAAGAUGUUCUAAUGUUAUUCAUAGGAAAGAAAAAGGAACUAAAUGGUGAUUAAUAGAUAAAAAAAAAUAGAAUGUAAAAUAUUAAAUGAAAAUUAAGUAAUUAUGAUUGUUUUAAUAACAUAAAAAAAAAAGAUUUACUUAAUUUUUGUAGUGAGUUACUUGAUUUCUUGGUGAACAAAUAUAAUUAUGAUUGUUUUAAUAACAUUAAAUUAAAUGAAAAUUAAGUAAUUAUGAUUGUUUUAAUAACAUGAAGAAAAAGAUUUACUUAAUUUUUGUAGUGAGUUACUUGAUGUCUUGGUGAACAAAUAUAAUUAUGUAAAAUUAUAAUGACUUAACAAUUUUUGAGUACAAAAUUUUUGUAAGGAGAGAAGUAUGUAGCAUCCCUACCUUGAUUUUAGGGAUACUCAUGUAUUUUGAAAAUUUAAAAAAUGACCUAAUUUAAAAGAAAUUUAUGUAUUUUAAAAAAAAAUUUUAAAAACUUACCUUGAUUCUAGGUAUAUUUAUGUAUUUUAAAAAUAAAUAAUAAAUGAGAUGCUUUUUUUUUUUGUCCCUUUUAACUGCCCACUAUAUUUAACUUAUUAUUUUUUUCAUGCUAUCAAAAAUUUGAAAGUCAGAAUAGAGAAAAAAAAAAUUUCCAUAGAAUUUUGAUUUUAAAGAAAAGUUAGAAAGAAGAAUGUUUUAGUAUUUGCUUCAGUCUAGAAAUUAAAGGUGUGAAUUAUUUUUUUCAAGAAUUUGAGUGAUUUCUUGGAGGUAAGGGUUAAUAAUGUAGUAAGUUGUUUUAUAAUUAUUUAUCUAUUUUUGAAAGUAUCAAAAUGUUUGAAUUCUCUAAAGUGGAUCAAGUAGUAAUUUGUUUUUUCUAAAAUAUGUUUAAUAUCAUAUGAUUUGUUUGUUAUUUUAUAAAUAAAUAUUAUAAAAAAUCUAGUUAUUAGUAGCCCUAGUCAACAAGGUAUAAGUUAUUAACUAAAAUAUUUGCAUUUGAGAUUCUUUUGAAUAUGAAUUGAUUAUGCAAAGUGUAUUAUGUUAUUUAUCUUUAAAUUGAAAGUGUUAAAUUUUUCAAAGAAAGUAAAUUAAAUUAUUGAAAUAAAAAACUUACUUGUUAAUUGACUUAUAUAUAUAUAUAUAUAUAUAUAUAUAUAUAUAUAUAUAUAUAUAUAUAUAUAUAUAUAUAUAAAUGAUAUCUCACUAGGUUUAUUUCUAUGCUAUACUUGAUCUUUCUUAUUGAAUUAUUUUUUCCUUAUUGAGUUGUUGAGUUCACCUUUCUAUAUAAUUCUCCUUUAUAGGUUUGAAUGAUAUCAAUGAGGAGAGAGAUCAAGAUAGGAAGAGUUUUAAAUUUUGAUUAUUAAGAAUUCUUAACUUCAAAUUCAAUUUUUGUUAUAAUUUCUAGAGUUUUGUUAUUAUUAUUAUUAUCAAAGUGUUUGAGAUAUUUUUUUUUUUUUAGUUUUGGAUUUAAAUGACAUUUAUAUGUUGGAAUCUAGUGUUUUAUAUGUGAAAUGACCAUGGCACCCUUAGCCUCGGGCUCCCGGGGUGUCACAAGUUGAAACAAGUGAGGUACCUAAAUCAAAAUAUGAACUCAUUAACAUAUUGGGAUACUUUACUAAGAAGUUUGUAAAGAUACUAUUUUUAAAAAAUUUGAUGUUUGACAUUACCCUAAAAUUAAUAUCCAUCCAAAUGUUUGAUGAAAUUUCCUUUUUGUUGUCUUUUAAGAUUUUCUUUCUUUCCCUGCCUUUCUCUAUGUCAAUUGAAACUCAUCAAUAAAUUGAACUGUUAUUGAACUCUCUAAAUUGAGUGAUCAAAUUGGAAUGCAAAGAUUUUUAGGUGAAGUGGGUCAAUAAUGCACCCUACCUUUAGUGGAAAAUAUUAAAAAAAAAUCUUUUAAGAAGGUAAGGGUAUGUCUUUUUUAUUUAUUUUUCCUUUGUAAAUUUUUUUGGAAAAUUUAUGGAUUUAAAUAUAUUACAAUGGUUUCUAGAUUGCGAUGAUCAAACUAAUAUUAAUUUUUUUGUAUUUUAUUUUGAAUAAUUUUUUGUAUGUGAUCAAACAUAUAUACAUUUAUAGAUGUAUAUAUGUUUGAGGUCAUUAAUGAUGGGAUUAAGGGUGUAUUAGUUCAUUUAUUCUAUUGUAAAUGCAUAGAAAUCAUAUUAAAUCUAUUUUCUUUUUUUUUUUUUUUUUUAACACAUGCAUACAUAUGGUUAUCUUAAUGAUAUUGUUCUCUUAAUCACAUCAUGUUAAGAUUUCUUUAAGGUUGCCAUAAUGAGGUGAAGAGCUUUUUGGUUAAUUUAUUCUUAUGUAAACACAAAAAAGAGACUUGGUCAUUUUUUUUAAGCAUACACAUAUGCCUAAAUAUGCAUAUAUUAACCAUAAUCUCCAACGAGUUGGAAUUUUUUUUACAUUUAUCUAUAAUAUGAUCAAGGGUAUUUUGAUUGAAAUUGUGUUUUACCUUUGAAUGUUGCUUUAGGAUUUAAAAAACCUUUUCUAAAUAAAGGUUAUGGUUACUUAACCCCUAAUAUCAAGCAUGUCAAGUUCAAACUUCUUGAUCUCUUUUAUGAUGAGGUUAAGGGUGCUUUAAUUGACCUAUUUUUUCUUGUGAAUGUAUAGAAAUAAUUUUAUAGUCACUUCAAUCUCAAUGUGUUAAGUUUGGACUUUGUGGUCAUCCAUAACAAUGUUAAGGGUUGUAUGGUAGACUUAUUGUAAUGUAAAUAUGUAUAAAUAAAAUUUAAUUUUUUUUUUAGUAAACUCACAUAUAUACAUAUAGAUGUACCCACCCUAAUCUCAAGUGUGUUAAACCUCCAAUAUCAAGUGUUUUAGAUUGGAAUUUUUUGAGGGCAUCCAUGAUGAGGUUAAGGGUGUUUCAAUUAACCUAUUUUGAUGCGUAGAUAGAAAUAAGAUGCAAUCUUUUUUUUCUUUUUCUUUUUUUUGAUACAUGCAUAUGGUUAACCGAAUCAUAUAUACAUCUCAAUCUCAACCUUUAUAAGUUGAAAGUUCCUUGAAGUCAUCCAUAAAAAGGUUAAGGGCCUUUUGAUUAACUUAUCCUAAUAUGUGAAUACAUACAUACAUACAUACAAACAUAUAUAUCUAUAUAUAUAUAUAUAUAUAUAUAUAUAUAUAUAUAUAACAAUCUUAAAAUCAAGUGUGUUAGGUUCAAAAUUCAUUAAGGUUGUUUACAAUGAGAUUAUGGGUGUUUUUUGGUUGGAAGUCGAGUUUCACAUUCAAACAGGAUUUUUACGAUUUAAAAAGCUCAUCCAAAUAAGGGUUAUUAUAGUUAAAUGACCCUUAAUAUCAAGUAUGUCAAUUUGGAAUUUAUUAAGGUUGAACAUAAUGAUGUUAAGGGUGUUUUAAGUAACUUAUUACAUUGAGUGUGUCUAAAAAUGAGAUUCAGUCUUUUUUCUUUUUCUUUUAUCGAUAGGGAUGAUAGUUUUGUGGGUUAUUUAGGUAACCCACCCUGUCCCUAUGAAGGAGAAGGUGAUAAUUGGGGAGGGGAUGGGUUUGAGAAAAUUUUCAAAACCCGAAUCAGGUUUAAGGCAAGGAUAGGUUUUACAUCAACCCGUUCCACCCCGCCAAGUGACAAAUUUAUCCUUCAAAUAUUAUAAAAUUCCAAACAACUCUCUAUCAUAAAUAUUUACUUUUUUCACAUUUGCUCUAGAUCAUAAAGAACACCUACUCUCGUCACAUCUCUACAUAUCCCCUUUCUACUUCAAGCUUUAGAAAUCCAUCUCAAAGGAUGAAUCUAAGAAGAGCAACAAAAUCAAGAAGCGUUCAUGGAGAAACUUUUUUCUCUUCUUCAAAUGGAAGUGGAAUCACAAUGACGAUGGGCUCCAUUAUGACAUAGACAACUUCAAUAUUCAUCAUAUAAGAGCCAAAGCCUUCAAAGCCUCCAUUUCAAGCUUUCUUCUCUUCUGAAGGUUUGAGUCUUGAUUUGGUUUUGAACCUUAAACAUAUUUUAAGGUUUUGUCUAGUUGGAUUGUGUGGAGAUAUUUGAAUUUUGUAGAGAUUUUGGAUCCUUUUUUCUUUCUAAUUUGGGUUUUGGUUUGAUAAAUCAACUUUCAUCCCAUGUAGUUCCAAGUGUGAGUUUGUCUCAAGUCAUAGACCCUUUCAUUUUUUUUUCCAUGUGGAUGUUAUAUGAAUUGAAUUUUUGGAUUUGGGACUUCUCACCUUUGUUCACAUUCAUUUUUUUUUCCAACAUUUUUUUUUUUGAAGGCCAUAAUGUCUUUAAAAAAUUUUCAUGGUAUUUUUUGCUUUUAUAGAAAAGUAAAUCAAUGGCACAAAUAUUGUGAAUUUGUUGAUUGGGGAUUUUGUGGAUUGAUGUAAUGUUAUUGGUUUUGGAAAAAUCCUCCUCCUCAUCUAAGUAGAAGAAAUACACAUCCGAGUUGAGAUGAUGUAGGGACAAGUUUAUCAUUUUUUAUUUUUUAUUUUUUUAUUUUUGUACAUGGGAAUGGGUACUCAUCAACGUGCCCCAUCUUGAGUUUGGGACGAGGAUGAGGGAGGAUUAUAUAAUUGGGAUAGGAAUGGGAUAGAAGCACCCAUCCCAAACUCACCCCGUUGACAUCCUUAUUUAUUAAUGUAUGCAUACAUAUGCUUACCUAAUCAUAUAGUCACCUUAAUAUCAACGUGUUAAGUUGGAAUUUCUUUGGAGUCAUCCAUAAUAAGGUUGAAACUAAUAUUUUAUGGUCUUGAUAUGUGAAACUACCAUGGUUUGUCCCUUUAGAUUAAUUAUUUAGUGAUAAGAUAUAAUUCUCAUCCACAAAUAAAUAAAAUUGAUUACACAAAUGAACAUAAUAUAUAUGUAACUUGAAAAAACCACCUAAUAACCUACUAAAUGUAAAAACUACCAAUAGUCUCUCAACUGCUAAAUAAUCUACUAACUAUGGGAAAAGAGAAUAUAAUUUUACCUAAUUGGAUGCACCUUUACCUUAGGGUCUUAUAUCGUCAACACCUACACUCUUUUUUUACACCCUUGAUGCAAGACUCUCCUAUACUUCAUAAUAGAUCUCUUGAAACCCUUAUCAAAGUAUAAUUGUGAGAUCUCUAACCUUUAUUGAAGUUGAAUGUACUUUCAAGAUAAAUCUUAAAAUGUUUGAGAAGUGGAAACUGAAGUUUUUGUUAAAUGAUUUUGCUUUCUUAGAGUUCAUAAAAUUUCUAUUUCUUUUCAAUUUUUGUUAAAUGAUUUUGCUUUCUUAGAGUUCAUAAAAUUUCUAUUUCUUUUCAAUAAAGCAUGUAUAUUCAGGGGUGGAGUCAACUAGGGCUCAAGGGAGGGGGGCAAACUACCCAUCCUGAAAUUGUUAAAAAAUAAUAAAUAAAUAAAUAAAUAAAAAUCUUACUUCUAAUAGCUGAGGGACUCAAACCCAUGACUAUGAUUAACCCCCGAACCAAAGAAUUGUCUAAACCAUUAGGCUAAAACCCAUACUUGUUAUUUUAAUGAAAUUAUUUAUAUAUGUAGUGAAUAUGACUCCAAAAAAAAAAAUUACCACAAUUUACAACCCUCUGUCAUUCGUCUCCUGACUAUUUUUCAUGUUUAAAAUACUAUUUGAGAGGGAAAUGAGAAGAAACAAGUAGAGAGAAACAACAAAAUGAUAAAAGAAAGGGAAAAAAAUUAAGGAAAAGAAGAAUAAAGAGGAAGAAGAGGAGGAAAUUUUUUUGUAAGUUUUGUUUUAUUUAUAUCUCAUAAAUUUUAUUGAAAUAUUCUAUAAAUAAAUCUUAAAUAUAUAUAUAUAUUUUAGAAUUUAUUAUUAAUAAUAGUCACUAAUAUUUAAUACUAAAUUUAUUAUUAAAAAGAAUAAAAUUUGUUAUUGAAAUUUCAUGUUAAUAUUAUAUCCCUUAGUUUAUAUAAUUUUUUAAUAUGUUAUGAUAAUAAAUAUGUUGAAAUAUAUUUUUGUUGAAAUUUGUAAUGACAUUUUACAUUUUUAUUCAUAUAAGAUUAAUACCAUGAGAAAUUAUUGUAGAAUAGAAUACAUUUUUGUUGGAAUUUGUAUUGGUAUUUUACAUUUUUUUUAUUCAUAUUAGAUUAAUACCAUGAGAGUUUGUUGUAGAAUGAAAUAUAUUUUUGUUGAAAUUUGUAUUGACUUUUAUCUUUUUAUUUAUAUUAAUAUUAUGUACUUAAUUUACAUAUUUUCUUAAAGGGUCCAUGUUGGCCUUGAAAAUAUAACUUCCCCUUUAAGAAAUUUGGGGAAACAUGACAAUGAUCCAAUCCUGCUCAUUUUGCCAAAUAUGCUAAUUAGUUGGAAUUUAGCAUAGUAAAAGAUGUUGCAUUUUGUUUAUGUUGCUAUUUUUUCAAACCAAAUAUUGGAGAACAAACAUGAGGUGAUUCCUUUGCUAGUGAAAGGUUCUCAAAUUGGAAGAAUAAAGAAAAGUUCAAUAUUCAUAUUAGAGGCCCCUUCAAUGCCCAUAAUCAAGGUUGGAUCAAAUGUGAAACCUUAUUAAACCCAAAGCAACAUAUUGAAACACUUUUCUCCAAACAAUCAAAUCGAGUUCAAAGUGAGUAUGAAAUUUUCUUAAAUGUAUCUAUUGAUUGUGUUUGAUUUCUUUUAAGACAAGGGAUUGCAUUUCAUGAUCAUGAUGAAUUUGAAGAUUGCAGUAACCAAGAAAACUUUCUUGAACUUUUGAGAUUUUUUGCUAAUCACAACGAGGAUAUUAAAGUUGUUACUUUGAAAAAUGCUCUUGAAAAUCUCAAAUUGAUGGCAUCUAAAAUUUGGAAAAGACAUUGUUAGAAUUAUUGUAAUUAAAACCAUAAAUGUUAUUAUCAAAGAUAUUGGAAAUGCACUUUUCUCUAUUUUAGUUGAUGAAUUUCAUGACCUUUCAGUUAAUGACUAUUGUAUUGUGUUACGUGGAUAAAAAACGACAUGUAAUUGAUUGUUUUAUCGAUAUUGAGCAUGUUACUAGUACCACUACUCUUUCACUUAAGGUAGCUCUAUUGAUGGUUUAUUUUUUAGGUAUGGAUUAAGUAUGUUUAGGUUAUGAUGGGGCAAGUAAUAUGCAAGGCGAGUUCAAUGGUCUUAAAACACUUAUUACGAAAGAGAAUGAAUGUGCUUUUUAUGUUUAGUAUUUUUCUCAUCAACUUCAAUUAGCUUUUGUGGCAUGACAAAGAAUCAUAUUCAAAUUGUCUCUCUAUUCAGUGUAGUUACUAAUGUGCUUGAUGUUGUUAGUGCUUCAUCUAAACGUCAUGAUAUCCUUCAUGAUAAGCAAGUUGCAAUAGUUAUUGAAUCACUUAAUCAUUGUGAGCUUUCUAAUGGGCAAGGGUUAAACUAGGAAACCACUCUUAAAUGUAUUUGUUACACACAUUGUGGCUGACGUUAUGGUACUUUACUUGGAUUGAUUAACAUGUUCUCAUCUAUAAUUGAAGUACUUAAGAUUAUUAUGGAGGAUGGUUUGAAUUCCUAACAAAGAUAUGAAUUAGCUAACUUGUUAGAGUCAACGUAAUCAUUUAACUUUGCCUUCAGUUUACAUUUGAUGAGAUCUAUAUUGGGAAUCAUAAGUGAAUUAUCAUAAGAAUUAUAAAGGAAGGAUCAAGACAUUGUUCAUGCUAUGACUUAGGUUAAAAUAUGUAGGCAACAAUUGCAAAUGAUGAGAGAAAGUGGUUAGGGUUUCUUAUUUGAUUAAGUUUUUUUUUUAUUUAAAAAAAACAUAACAUUAAUAUUCCAAACAUGGAUGAUAAAUUUUUAACUCGAGGGAGACCAUGGUGUCUCAUGAAAUUGCAAAUUUGCAUCAUUAUUAAUUGAAGUUGCUCUAUGUUGUUAUAGAUAUGUAAAUUCAAGAACUUAAUAGUCAUUUACCAAGGUAAAUACUAAGUUGUUUUUUUGUGUGGCUUGCCUAAAUCCUAGUGAUGCAUUUGUUGCUUUUGACAAGAAAAAACUAAUCCAACUUUCUUAAUUUUAUCUAUAAGAGUUUUCUCCAAUAGAGCUUAUGGUACUCAAUGAUCAACUUGAGACUUACAUCAUUAAUAUGUGCUUUAGUAGUGAGUUUUUAAAUGUGAAAAGAAUUGGUGAUAUUAUACAAAAUAUGGUUGAAACAAAUAAGCAUAUUGUGUAUCACUAGUUUAUUUGCUUAUUACAUCGACUCUAAUCCUACCUAUUGUAACUACAACCAUGGGGAGAAUGUUUUCUACUAUGAAUAUUUUGAAAAAUCAAUUGUGAAAUCAAAUGAGAGAUCAAUGGAUGAAUAAAUCACUUGCUUGUACAUGUAGAAAAAUAUAUAUUUGAUAACAAUGAUAAUGAAACUAUUAUGCAACACUUUCAAAAUAUGAAACUUGUUAAGGACAAUAUCGUAAAAUGUAUUCAAUUGAAAUGUUAUCAAUCAAUAUAAUUUUUUUGUACUUCUAAUUUAUUAAAUAUUAUUUUUAUUUACUAUUAAAGGUUAUCCCCUUGAAGUAAAAUGCUUGCACUACCAUUGUGUACAUUUAUACCUAAAAAUCCCUAGCUUUUAAUCAUGGAGAGUUAUCUAAUUUUAAAAUGUUUAAAAAAACCUUGCAAAGUUAAAAACAAAAUAGGAAUCACAAACUAAUUUUCAUCCUAAUUUCUUACAUUAGUCUUUUCAAAACCUUUAUAAACCAUAAGUUUAUACUUACCAUAAGUUUACCAACCCAAAUCCAAAUCUGGUGAAGUCUAAAAUUGUCUUAAGACGGAUAAGAAUCGAGAAAGUAAGUUGCAUUUAAUUAGUAAGAAAUGGAACAGAAUUGCGGACUAAAUAAAUAUACCAAUAAUCUUCCCUUUUGGCAAUUUUGUAACAAAAUACAAUUAUUACAAUAUAAUGACCUAUAACUCUUAUAAAACCUCACUAGAUCAUAAAAUAAAAAUAAAAAUCUUAGUCUAAACCACCAACUCAAUAAUGUCAAUUGCUUAUAAUCUACACACACUUAACCAAGAAACCUAUAAAAAGCAUAGUGUGACAAAAAUUUGGUAUUAUCAUUAAUGAACAAUGCUUUUUAUGCCCCAUGUUUGUCACAAAAUGACAAACAUAAGAAAAUCAAGCAUGAUAAAAUAAUCAAGGAGGAAUACCAAUAUGCAUGUUAAAAGCAUAGUUAAUAUUUAUAUUCAAAAUACAACCAAAAUAAGAUAAGAGUAAAUAAAGUAUUAAAAGAUAAUCCAAGUAAAUUAAGAUACUCUUUCUCUCUAACUUUAUACAUUAAGUAAUCUAGAAACUAUAAAGUUACUCUAAAUGCUAUGGAUCCAAUUUCCUAAUAAUUCAUGUUUCUAUGGUUGUAAAGAAGUUCAAAUUAUUACUUAAAUUUUGAAAGAUCAAGAUUGAACUCUUUUGAAUGCUUCUUAAAAUACUUAAAUACUCUUGAAAUUAUAAGUUUUAGAAAAUUAGCUAGGAAUUAAUUAAUCUAGAUAUAAUAGGGUAUGAAAAAUUAUUCAAUAGGCUAUGAAGAGAGCCAAAAUACUUUAAUUUUUAGAAUUCAAAAGAUUUUCAAAUAUAAAAGAAUAAAAUAGAAGUGAAGGAAGAAAAACUUCAAUUCCAAAAACUGAAAGCAUUAGUUGCCUAAGAUUUUCAUUCAAUUUCACAUUAUUUCAACUAAUUAAUUUAAGGUCCAAAAGUAAAACACCUUUAAUUUGAAUUUCAUCAAGUAAGAUAUCUACUUAACAUGACUUAAUUUCUUUCACAUAAAUAUUCAUAUGUAUCAUAUGACUUUAGAAUUUUCCUGAGUUUUUUAUUUAUUUUUUCAAUCAUAAUUUUUUUUCUUUAGUGAGGCAAUUCUAGAAUAGAAUUGAACAUUAAUUUUAAUCUAUAAUUACACAUUCCACUUUGAGUAUUUUUCUUCACUUUUAUAAGUGAUGAAUUUUACUAUCAGAUUAAAGACAUUGAAUUUAGAAUUUAUCUUAUAUCAAUCUACCCCCAACUAUGUAGCUAUAGUUUGUUCUGGGCUCAAAGAGCUUCUCACAACUUUUGUCAUUGAGAAAGAAGAAAAACUAGUAUGCAUCGCAUUAAAUCUUCAUUACUUCAAAGAAUAACAUACAACCCUAAUUUAUUUUGGGACUCUUCAACAGAAUCAUCAAAUCUAGGAAACCAUAAGUUAACCUCAAAAAAUAGGAUAACUACCAAAUAGAUGGUUAUCUUUAUUUUUAAACUUAUCUAAGACUCCUAAUAUGAUAAGCAUAAAAUUUAAAUAACAAAGACUAAUUCAAAACUUAUAUGAAACUAAAGGAAUUCAAACAAAAUUUGACUUUGAUUUCGAACAAUCCACUUCAAGUUAGGAUGUAUAGGUUGAAUAUACCCAACUUAGUAAUUUGUUGUUCGAAUAAUCUUCUUAUGAGAGCUUUUAUAAGUAAAUUGAUAACUUGCUCAUUUGUGGGUACAUAGAUCAUGUAAACAGUCCCAUCUUCAAUUUUCUCUUUUAUAAAAUGACGAUCAACCUCCAUGUGUUUAGCUUGGUUAUGAUGAACCAAACUAUGAGAUAUGUUGUGGUAGCUUUAUUGUCAUAGUACAUCUUUAUCGGUAUAAUUCUUGUUACCCCCAAUUCUUUUAGCAAACGUUUUAACCACAAGAGUUCACAUAUGUCGUGAACAAUGACCCAAAGUUCCAUCUCAACACUACUUCUUGUGACUACAAUUUGUUUUUUGCUCUUCCAAGUUACUAAGUUCCCCCCAAAAAAUGUAUAAUAGCCGAAAGUAGACCUUCUUUCUUCCAUAGAACCUACUUAGUUUGCAUCUAUAUACCCUUCUAUGGUCUGAGUUUCACCCUUCUUAAAAAAUAACCCUUUUCUCGGAGACCUUUAAGGUAUUUUAGGAUCCUAUAUACAAACUUCCAUAUGCUCUACACAUGGCACAUGCAUGUACUAACUUACCAUGCUUAUAACAAAAGUAAUAUCAGGUCUUGUAUGGGAAAAAUAGAUUAAUUUCCCAUCAAUUGUUGAUAUGUUCCAAUAUCAACGGGAAUACUUUUUUCUGAUUCCCCAAUUUUUUCAAUGGAUCCAUUGGAGUAUUGACUGCCUUGCAACCAAGCAUCUCAAUCUCUUUCAAAAAGUCAAAAAUGUACUUUCUUUGAGAGACUGAAAUGCCAUUCUUGUUUCUUGCUACUUCCAUUCCCAAAAAAUACCUCAAAGAUCCAAGAUCUUUAACUUUGAACUUAACAACUAGUCUAUUUUUCAAUUCUACCAUUUGAACAUAAUCAUUUCCUAUUAGUAUAAUAUCAUCCACAUAUACAAUUAAGAUAGUAAUUUUACCAUCUUUCUGGCAAAAAAAUAAGGUGUGAUCAGUUUGAACUUACUUAUAUCCUUGUUGUAAAAUGACCUUUGUGAAUCUUUCGAACCAUGCUUGAGGUAAUUCUUUUAGUCCAUAAAGAGAUUUUUUUUUUUAGUUUAUAGACUUUCCUUUCUUUCCGCUCCUUAUCAAAACUAGAUGACAAGUCUAUGUAUACUUCUUCUUCUAGGUCUCCAUUGAGAAAGACAUUCUUUAUGUAUAAUUGUUGAAUGUGCUAGUAUAGAUUCACUGCUAGGGAUAGUAGAAUUCUUACGGUAUUGAGUUUGGUAACUAGGGUGAAUGUUUCUUGGUAAUCAAUUUUGUAAGUUUGUGUGAAUUCCUUAGCUACUAAUCUUGCUUUGUACCUAUAUAUGGAUCUAUCUAGUUUGUAUUUUACAACAAACACCCAUUUUCAUCUAAUUGGUGUUUUCUUUUCUAGUUUAUUAACAAAAUCCUACGUAUCUCAAGAGUAGCCAUUUCUUCUAAAACAACUUUUUUCCAUUCUGGUUUGUUCAAGGUUGUGUAAAUAUUCUUUAGAGUCUCUAUUUUUGCAAGUCUUGAUAUAAAAGCUUGAAAUGAAGGUGAGAGAUGAUCGUAAAAAAUAUAAUUGGAGAUAGGAUGUUGUGUACAACACUUGGUCUUUUGGAAGAUUAAGAUCAUUUGCCAAAAAAGAACUAUAGGAUCCAACUCUUGAUAGGGCAGAGAAACCACGGUGGACUCUACUUCUCUUGGUUAGUUAUGCCUGGAAUAAACACAAAGCUUGUAUUGAUUCUGUUGAGCUCCCCCUAGCCUAAUAUUACAAUUUUUUUAUGGGCACUACAGGUUCAGUUGUUGUUGUGGACUAAGAUUGAGAAGGUUUGGUUGUUGCUAAUUGGUUUAAAGAUAUUGUUGGCAGGUUUUUGAGUGAAAUUGGUUGAGUGAUUCAGGAGUUCAAUGAUGUUUAUUCCAAGGUAUUGGUUUGGGUAAUAGGAGUUUCAUUUAGCUCUGCUUCAGGUUCAGAAACUGGAAAGGGUGUUGGUGUUGUGAUUUGAAACAAAUCCCAAAAAUUCUUUUUACUCCCAUUCUCUCCUUGAAGUGAUUUUUUUGGAAAGUAAUGUUGAUUUUCAAAGAAGGUGACAUUCAUAGUGACAUAAUAUUUUCUUUUGUUGGGAGAAUAGAAAAAAUAUCACUUUUGUGUGGCCAAAUAUCCUAUAAACAAACAUGACAAGCAGUAAGAAUUGAGCCUCCCCACAAAUAUUUUGGUACAUUAGUAGUAAACAUGAGAGAUCGAACCAUAUUUUCUAAUAAAUGUCUAUUUUUCGUCUCAGCAAUUCCAUUUUGUUGAGGGGUACCUACACAUGAGUUUUAGUGAAUGAUUCCUUAUUCUAACAAAUACCCCCAAGUAUAGUGUUAAAGUAUCCAAUGUUAUUAUUAGUGCACAAGAUUUUUAUUUUUGUAUUAUAUUGAUUUUGGACCAUAACAUGGAAAUUUUUAAAGGUUUGUUUAGCCUCACUUUUUCUUUCAGAAGAUAAACCCAUGUUACUCUUGUAUAAUCAUCAAUAAAUGUGAUGAAUUAUUUUUUUUCCCAUUAAGCUUUGUAUUUGUGAAGGACCCCUUAUGUUAGUAUGGAUUAUGGUGAAUGGUGUUGAAGGUUUAUAAGUUUGAGAUGGAUAUGAAGAAUGUUGGUGCUUGACAAGCUGGCAAAUUUCACAUUGAAAAACAUUUUUAUUUUUGAAAAGAGAAAGAAACUAAUGUUUUAAGUACUAAAAAUUAGGGUGACCUAACUUGAAAUGCCACAACAUUAUUUCAUUUUUCCUUAGACAAAGAAGAAGAUACACAACUUGCUAUGAAUGCUUGUUUAUUCUCAAAGUUGUCAUCCUUAAAGUACUAGUGUCCACCAUGCUCUUUAGCACUACUAAUUCUCUUCCCCGAAGUCACUUCCUAAAAUUCAUAAUGAGAUGGUAAGAAUUGGAUUGAGCAAUUAAGAUAUUUGGUGAGUUUACUUAUGAAUAGUAGGUUGAAAACUAAUUUAGGAACAUGUAAAACAUCAUGAAGGGUUAUAUGAGGCUUUAAAACAAUUAUACCAAUCCCUGCAACUAUUGCAAAUGAACCAUCCACAAUUUUCAUCUUAAUAUGUCCUAAACUAAGAUUAUAAGUAAAGAAGGAACUUGCAUACACCAUCAUAUGACCUGAAGCACGAGAGUCUAUGAUCCAAGGGUCCAAUUUUUCAGUAGUAGUGCUUAAAGCAGUUCAAAAAGUACCUUUUUGAGACAUGAAAGAUGUGUUAAGGGCAUUAUGAGAAGAACCAAUGAUUAAUUGAGGUGAGACAAUAGUAGCCAAUGGUUUUAACAACUUGUAAAUAUAUUCAAGUUAAUAUUUAUUUAGUGAGACAUUGAACGAAUUCUCACAUGUCUUAUUUCUAAGUUUUGACACAGUUUGGAAUCCUUUUAGGUCGCCAUCAGAAUCGUUCUUGAUCAUUGGAGAAAAUUCUUCCCAUUCAAUUUCCUUGUUGUAAUUUGUAACAAGUAUUUUCUAGAGUAACUACGAUAAGAGCAAUUGUAGAGGGAGUUUAAGAGGUACUCAAAGAUUCCUUCAUGACACUACUUUUGCUUGUUUCGGCCAUGACUGUUUUAAUUAUUUUGUUUCCUCAACUAAGGACUAGCUUUGAUACCAUAUCACUGGGAAGGAAGAAAAAUUGGUAUGUUGGCAUAUUGAAUUUUCAUUGCUUCACAAUAAAAGCAUACAACUCUAAUUUAUUUUGGGACUUUUCAACAAAAUCAUCAAAUCUAGGAAACCAUAAUUUAAACUCAAAAAACAGGAUAACUACCAAAUAGUAUCUUUAUUUUUAAAUUUACAUAAGACUCCUAAUAUGAUGAGCAUAAAAUUUAAAUAACAAAUUAAAAUUAAUUCAAAACUUAUCUAAAACUAAAGGAAUUCAAACAACAUUUGACUCUUACUUCCAACAACUUUAAAAUAUGUUUAUAAGGUCAAGAGGAAUCUAUACAUAUAUAGCACCAAGAGUUUUUUCUCUUACCCAAUAUGGGAUAUCAAAUUACCACAUCCCUCAAUAGAGACAACGUCCUUAUUAUAUCCCACAAAAUUAUGAGGCCAAAUAGAUAGACACCCUAAUGGGACUAAACAAACUCUCACAUCAGGGUCAAGGAUCAAUUUUGAUAUAAUUUGUAAUGACCAGUUUCCAACCAUAUAGAUAUUAUUUGCACUAAGCCCAAUGGGUUCUUACAUGUUUAUAAGGUUAAGAGGAGCCCAUAUAUAUAUAUAUAGCGCUAAGAAUUUUUUCCCUUAUCCAAUGUGGGAUGUCACAAUUAGCCCUUUGUAGACACAACAUCCUUAUCAUGGUAAAUAGGAUUAUAAGGCUAAACAAAUAGACACCCCUAACAAGACCAAUCAACUCUAAUUAAUCCAUAAAUUAUGAUUUAAUGACAUAAUUAGAGAGUGAAUUAUGUAAUAUAAUGGCUUAAUUCACCCGAAUUAACUUGAAUUUUUGCUAAGACCCUAGCCAUGAGUCUAAUGUAUAUCUUGAACUAAAUUCGAAGUUUAAGAGAUGAAAAGGAUGUACAUUUCAAGAAUCAUUUUCAUUCAUGGUAGUGAAGGAGUUUAAUCUACAUCAUAAGAGCUCUAAGAGUUCCCAAGCAUGAUGAGAGUUGCAACAAAUACAAAUGAAGAAAUACAUAGAAUUAAAGAUGAGAAAUGAAGAUUAUGAAGAGGGAUAAAGAGUAAUCAAAUAUAAAAAGAAGGUUGGAGGCCAUAACUCAAAGUUUAACAUGGUAAUUAGACUUUAAGAUUUAGUGCAACACAUCCCUUCACCUUAAGAUGAAUUUUAAAGGACUUUCUAAGGAAAUUUUAAGCAACUAUAUAUUAUUUCAAAGCUUAGGAAUUCAAGAGUCCAACACUUCAAAUGGUGCAUGAAUAGAAGUUGAAAGAAAGAAGUUAUGACCAUUUAAAAACAAUUAGGGAAAAUUGAAGAGGCAUUUCAAAUUCAAAAUGGUGAUUUUGAAAUUCAACUAAUGAUUUUGAAAUCCAUUUAAAAAUUACUCCAAUUCAAAAUUGCAAAUUGACAAAUAAAGGAUCUCAACUUACCACUUCAAAAUCCAUUUCGAAAUCAUGACAAUUUUGAAAUGUGUCACUACCAUUAUGAGAAUUUGCCUACUUUACCUUGAGAAUUGCAUAUUUGGCACUCCAUCAACCCUAAGUGGGCCGCCCUGCGCAAUUGGAAACUAAUAUUUAUUUAUUUUUAGGUAAUUAUUUGGGAAAUAAGUAGCCAAUAGGAAAAUGUUGCAUGCUUUUUUUACUUUUACUAUAAAAAAACCCCUAAUUUUAGGCUUUGGGGGGUACAACUUAGAGAUUUCUUAACUAUUCUUGAGGGAGAGGAAGACAUCGAAAGGUUUUUUUAGGUUUUUUUCUUUCUCUUUUAUAUUAUUGAAUAAAACAUUGUUUUUAAUUCUUUUGUGGAUUGUGCAUGUGAGAACACACCCAUGAGAAGCUAACAAGUCAUCUUGGGUUGUGAAACAUGAAAGCCUAGGGAUCCAAAAGGAAACAAUUGUUAUUUCCACAUUAAAAAUUAAGUGGGUGGCCCACUAACCUAGUAUUUAGCCAAUUAAAAGAAUACCCAAUAUCUUUAAACUGUUAUAAAGAUAUUUACCCUUGAUGGAGUGGGUAAAUUAUAAUAAUUAUAAUAUUAUUAUUUGAAAUAAAAAACAGUUAUUCGAAUAACAUGUUCAGAACGGUUUUUGAACAUGUAUUCUUGGCCCUCUUCUCCUAUCAAUAAGAUAUAUAUACAGAAACCCCUUCAUGUGCGGUGAGUGCUCUCUUCCAUCAAUUACAAAAAACAAUUCUAUGUAUUAAGGUUUGAUAAGGAGAAGAAGAUAUCAAGGAUUUAAGAUCUAUAAACUGAAGGGAAAUCUCUCAUGGCUGCGUGUUCUUCAAACGGUAUGUAAUCUAUUUUUAAUUAAUGUUUUUUAUUAUUUUAUUAUCAGAGAUGAGUUUGAAUUCAAUGAUCUGGAUUAUUGUGUGUUAAUUUCCAUAUUAAAUAUCAACAACAAUCGGUGAAAUUGAACUUAUUAAUGGAUUGGAUGAAAGGUUAAGGCAAUAAUAUCAAGAUCAAAAUAAUCUCUAAAGUUAGUUUCACUUAAGAGAUGGUACAACCACGCAUACUUUGAUACUAGCAAUUCUUUGUAAUUCUUAACCCAUUAUUAUAUGAGGUUUUUUCAUUGUUAUCUACCCUUAGAUAAAUCUACAUAGAGUGGUAAAAGCCAAAAAACAUUAGACCUAAACCUACAUUUCAUAUUCAUUCAUCUAUUAGGCAAUUCAAAAUGGAAUAAAAUAAUAAAAGUUAUGAUAUGGAUCAACUCUGAAGUAUUAAACUCAAGUUAACCUCAUUGGACCAUGCAUUAUGAAUACCUUAAGAUUGAUUAAAAUAUACAACCCUGUUUCGCUUAAAGGUCUACACUGAAGUUAGAUUGUGGAAACCCCAAAAUCUAAUCAUUUGUAUUAAAAAUCAAUCAUUUUUCUUGCAAUUAAAUUUAAACACUUAAUCCCCAAAACAUUCAAACCAAUUUUACACAUUUUUAUUUUAAAGAAUUAAGAAUAAAAGCAAUUUUUUUAGACCUAGUUUGACAAAGCCCAUAGAUCAAUCCCUAGGGAAAAUAUUAAGAGUACUACCAAGUCAUAAUAACUCUUUCUUUGGUCUUUUUUUGGCUAGAGUUUAUUAUGUGAAAAGGCUUUGUAUUCUUGGCAACAAAGAAAACUGGUCAAGAAGUGGCUUGUCAAGGAUUAGAUAUUGUCCAACUCUGAGCCUAAAAAGCCCUCAUAACUUUGGUUUUAUAAAAACUUGGAAACUCACUGGUUAAAUUGUAAUUGAUCAAGAGUUAAAAUACAAAAUUAUUUGGAUUGUCAAACUAAAAUUUUAAAUAAAUAACAUAUAGUAAUAGUUGUUUUUAUGUUAGAUGGGGAAUAGGUUCUUCAAAAUUUUAAUUCUUUAGGAUUUCAAGUGCUUUUUUGAAGUAAGGAACUAAUAUAUAUUUUGGCAAAAGAAAUAUUUUAUUUUUUAUCUGUUAUUUAAAUUAUAUAAAAUGUUAAUUUAUUUCUUUACUUGAAUCAAAUACAUUUUGCAUGAAAAUAUAUGUUAAAUUAUUUUAAUUGUUUGUAAUUGAAAAAUAUGGAGAUAUUAUAUUUUAUAUAAGAUUGAGUAAAAUGAUACAUAAUUAUUUGACACUGGUUUGUUUGGCCUUAGUCAUUUAGGAUAUUCCUUAGUGUGGAAUGUAAGUGCAUUGAACCCCAACCUCUAAGGGUUUGGCUAGAGGUUAGUAGUACUAGUAGAGUUUUGUUUCAUCCACCUUAAAAAGGAAUAAUAUUUAAGGCUAGUCACUCAUUUGGUAAGUCUCAUCUAAUCAGACAUAUUUGUUAUUUGAUGGUUAGAGUGCAAAUAUUUUGAAACCAUUUGAUUUGAUUUAAUAUGUCAUGAAAUUUGUCAGUGAAAUAAAUAUAAAAAUGUUGUUUGAAAAUUUUUGAAUGCCUUAGGAUGUUUAAAUUUCAAGGAUUUUUUUUUGAAAAGGAUUAUUAAAUUAUAUUUCUUUAUUUUUAAUUAUAUUUGAAAACUUUGAUCCAUGAAACUAUAUCAAUAUUCCUUAUUGGGUUUGAGUUCAUUCCCUUUCAUUGACUAUUUUUCAAAUACUCUUAGUUUGGGCAAGGAUGAUGGUUAGGAUGAGAAUUUAUCGUUAUUAGGAUAUUAGUUUGGACUUUUAUUUUAGUAUGUUGUUUAAAUGGUAUAAAUUAAUUACUAUUUGAAGUAUUUUGGAUAAUAAAAAAAUGUUUGAUGUGUUAUUUAUUUAUUUAUUUUUUUUUUGAAGUUGAGUUUUAAGGAAUAUAGUAUAUUUUACUUAAUUUGAACAAGAAUUUGAUAAUUGGUAACUUUCUAGUUAUAAGAUGAUUGUUUGAGUCAAUUGUACUUUGAGUUUUCAAGCUUGAAUUAUGAAUUGAUUGUCACGUCCUUGAAGUAGGUUUUGGGUUUUAAUAGAGCGGUAUCAAAGUUGAUCAUAAUGUGAAGGUUUGUUUGGCCCAUAAAGGAUAUUUGGUUGUUUGGUCCCUAUGUGAUUCCCUGAUUUUAUAAUAUGUGAGACUAAGGAUCCUUAGAUGAAAAUCCUUACAUCCCUCAAGGAAGACACUCCAAUGCAAGUGUGCGAGGUUGGUCUUACUUUUAGAUUAUAGUCCCUAAAAACAUGGUUUAAUCUUGCCCUUAGGUUGUGAGUCUUAAAGGACAUGCUUAGUCCUAAUCCUUAGAUGGUAAGUCUUAAAACACACAAUGUUUGAGAUUUACCCUUAAGUUAAAUUCCUAGAAACAUGACACAACAAUACAUGUUAUGCAUGUGGAUAUAUUCAUAACCCUUGAGAUUUACCCUUGGAUGGUUAUGUCUUAAAGACAGAGGGAUUGGCAUUUUUAGGUUAAGAGUCACAAAAGACAUGGAUAUAUUUGUAUGACAUUCUAUGAUUUCUCAACCAGAUAUAGGAGGUAAAACAAGAAUGAUACACGUUAUGCAUGGAUAUUUAAAAAUUUAAAUAAAUAUUUAUAUGCUAUACCAAAACUCUAUCUUAAGAGAUAUCAGGGAUGUCCCAAAUAACUAUAUGAGAUAAACUUAGAAUCUUUAGGUACAUAAAAAUAUGAUUUUUAACUUUUAGGGAUACCCUACAAAUUGUUAGGGAUAAAAUAAUAAAAUUGUCAAUAUCUGAAAUACAUAUUGAGAUAUUUUAGGGAUAAUAAUAACCACUAUAAUAACCAACCUAACAAGCUUAGUAACUACCUAAACAAUCAAUCAUAAGGUUACCACUAUCAUCAAUCAAAAUAUAAGCAAUGAUAAAAAAAAGAUACAACGAGGCAUAAGAUUUUUAUAUGAAAAACCCCUACAAACUAUGGAGAUAAAAAAAACUAUGAGGUCUAAGUCCUACCAAUCUAAAUUCACUAUUCAAAAUCAAGUUACACAGAUUUACCUGGUCGUUUUACCCUAAAGACUUAAGCUUCAACACCUACAACUCGAUCUACGUCUACGAUGCAACAACUUUCUAUUGCUCCUUAGUAAAUCCUUUGGUCACUCCAAAAGGAUUAAGGUCUUCAACCAAAUAUUCAAAGAUUCAAAUCCUUGAAUGAAAGAUUAGAAAUGAUACGGAAAUAAAACUUUCUCUCAAGGAUUCCCUCUCUCAAGAAUGAGAGGUCUUUCAAACUCUAAGAUCUCUACGUUCUUAAUAAUCUCCAAUCUCUUAGCUAGAAUCUCUAACCCUCAAGGGGUUAUAAGGAAGGUAUUUAUAGGAAAAAACUAAAAGAGUCUCAGUAUCUUAAAUUUCCAAAUUAGAGUUUGAGUGAAAUUCAUCCAAAAUUUGUUUCUAAACUCAAAAGGCUUGUCAUGACCACUUGACUGAACUUAGAUUGGUUGAGCACUUACUUAAGUGGUCCUUACCAUUUGAGCAGGUUGAUUGCUUGAGUGGAAUUAAUUGCUUAAGCGACCUUUGUUUCUUUUGAAAAAUCAUUUAAAAACAAUUUUAAGUACUAAAAUGAUACUGAACUUUUUUAUAGCUCAAAGAAACCUUAUAUGCCACAAACCAAACCUUUUUAGAAGUACAUGUGACUUCUUGGUUGGAUGAACAACAACCCUUGAUCUUCAACGGAGAGCAAGUCACUAUCUAAAAAGACUCUAUGGCUAAAUAUUAAUUGGAAUAAAAUUGCCAACAUAUAAAUAAGACUCAAUGUCCUAACACAUUUAAUAGUUUGCACCUUUGCAGUCCAUCUCCAAUUUCAAAUAAUGGGUUAGAUUCUUGUUUGUUUGGAUUAAUACAUGAAUUUGAAAUUUGAGAUGUGACAACAUAGGUGUGAGAUGCAUGCAUAGUUUUGUUUAGGGAUAAAGGGAGAAUGUUGGAAUAUCCUUAGAAAGCAAGACAUCUUAAAAAAAGAAUUAAUUGUCUUUUAUUCAAUUUUAUUAUGCACAUAUUUAUGGAGGCAUUCUUUAUGAUAUGUUAUUUCUAUGAAUAAUUAAUCCAAUCAAGCACAUUAUAUAUAAUCUAAGUGUAUGUAAAUACACAGAGGACACAAACCAUGGGGUCCUUGUAGGUUGAUAUGUUUAUUCAAAGCAAUUCAUGUGUUUGGGUGACUUAAUAGUAGUUGUAGUGGUCAUCAGAGUAAACCUUUGAAGUGGAUGUACCGGUAUGCAUGGGUUGCACAUUGAAUAGAACCUUUGGAGAGGCAUGUCAUAUACUAUUAGUUGGACAUGCAGUAUCUCUUAGUUUCCAUACUAUGGGUGCUCUUAAUCUUGAGAGCUCAUCAAGCUAAUGUUUGGGUUGGUAAUUAUUUUGAGUCACAAAAUAAUGAUAACCUCAAAUAAUCAUAUAUUCUCAUGUAUUUGAGUGAUUAUUAAUUUAGCAUGUAAUGAGAUGAAUGUCUAAUAUAAAUACAUGAUUGUUAGGAUAGAGCCUUUAAAAACAUGACAUGAUGUAAUAAACAUAUGGAUUUCUAUUAUUUAUUUAAGAAAAUUCUAGUUCACCUUUAUCUAUCCUAUUUCCAUGCAUCAUACCUUGUAAGCACUCUAACCCGCAUCUUUUGCAUUAUAUGUAAUAGGGGUGCAUUAGGAGUUACAUGAAAUAUCCAAGUCAUGGGUUCUUUGCAAAUAAAUGACUUAUUCACAACUACUUCGUGGGUCUAGGUAACUCAUUAAAGGCUAUAAUGCACCAUUUCCUAAUUGAAGGGAUGACUUGUCUUGGAUAUUGGGAUAGAUUUCUCAUGGUAUGUGCACUAGUGUGUAUGGUUACACAUUGGACAAGACCUAUGGUGAGUCAUAGCUUAAGGCUAUCAAGUAGUCAUAACUUCACUAAGCUGUUUCAUUGUGUUAUAUCUCAAUCUUGAGAGAAUAUUGAGUUUGUGCUAAAGUUAGCAAUGGUCUUAACUUACGUGUAAAAUCGUAAGUUCAUCAUAUAUUCUCUAUGGAUUAGAUCACUGUUAAUGAAAGCCGAUAGCAAUAGUAUUCUCAAUAAAGACACCAUGAUAUCUCAUGAGAUUGAGAUAGAGUGUCCCCUUGGGUGAUCCUAAGGAGGUGUGUUCAUGGAAAUUAUGGUCAUAGAAGUUUCUUAAGUGGAACUUGACAUUAUGUUCUUGGAGAACUAAGAUAUGUUAGUUGAAUGCACAAUAGAAGGAUCUGUAACUCAAGGAUAGUAAAGGUAGUCUAGAAAGACUGAUAGCUUCCACCUUGCUAGACCACGAACAUCAGUUCAUGGGAGACUGAACGCAAUGGAUAGCAAUAGGUCAUGGACCUGAGCAUAUAGUGUUUUGUUGUUAUUUACAUAGGAUAUGGGAGUUCAAUUGAUUCUCUAUAGUUAGUGUUGAAUUAACUUUUAAAUUGAAUUAUGAGGGAGCUAGUGCUCUUAUGGGUCCUAGUAGUUCCCAUUUUGAGCUCAUAUACAUUGUUGGCACGUGUUAUAAGGGCUGGAUUGACUUUAGGUUCACUGUUGUGGAAAAUGAUGUUUUGGUAAUUAUGCAAGGUUGCAAAGGAGUAAGUGAACAAGGUCUCUCAAUAGGGUUAAUUGAUUAAUAAGUAGGCCUUAUUAGGUUCAUUAAUCAAUUAGGACUCAUUUUGAGCUAAAUUAAGUGACCCAAGCCUUUAGUGAACUCAAGUAACUCAAGCUUAAUGGGGAACUCUAUAAAUACUCCCUUAAAAUUUAUGAUUUCCAUAGUUUUUCUAGAGAGUCAGCCUCCAACAUCUCUUUCAUUUCCAUCGGAAGUGUGUCAAGGUUAAGUUUUUAAUCAUUUGGCAGAAGAGUAUGUGACUUCUAUGACUUCGUUCUUUGUCUUCAUCGCGUAGAUUUGAUUUUAGAACAUUUGAAUCUAAGGUAUGUUUCUUGUUAACACUUUUUCAAUCCUUAUAAAGUUUAAAAAUGUAAUUUUUUUCCAUUGUGCAUAGGAUUUAAUACAAUAGUUUUGCAUGUUCGUAACCUGAUCUAAGCUUGGGAAAAUGAGAAAUCCGAGUUUUUCCCUUCAAUGAUAUCCCACCAAAGACAGUUAUAUCCUCUUGAGUAAUCCUAAGAUGAACAAUCAAGUUGGAUUUAUGAUCCUGAUGACUCCAUUAAAUUGGAAUUUAAAAUUUUAUCCUGAUUGGUAAAAGAAACAUCAAGUGAUCAUAGAAAGGUGUAACUUAAUUGUUUGAUAGCAAACUCUAAUUAAAUUAUGAAUAUCAAUUCAUGGGGGACAUAUGUAAUGCAAUAGCAAGUUAUGGUUUGAGAAAAUUAUUAAUUCAUUCAUUCAUUCAUCCAUUCAUGUAAUGUAUAUAAAAUAUUGAAGUGCAAUUGUGGUUCGACUUAUUCUAGUUUAAAUAAAUUAAAGAAAAUGAUUUUGCAAUGAAAGUUUAUCUAUAAGGUUUAAACUAGUGUUAUCAUUGAAACUUUUAGUUCUUAAACCAAAUAAAUAAAUAAAUAAAUAAAAUUAAUAGUUGUAUAGUGAUUAGGUUGUCUUUACAUGAAACUUUAGAUCAUUUGUUCUAGGAGGUAUGAGUGCUGGUUGGAAGCAAAAAUAUAUAAAAAAAAUUAAAUUAAGAGAGGAAAGACCCCUAGAAAUAGCAAAAAGUUAUUGAAAUUCCUUUUCUUAAGCUCGACGUACCAACAGGGCUUUGAACCUAUGCUUGUGACUUUAGGAUCAAGCCGAGGGCUUAUACCAAAAUAGUUCUAGUGGACAUGAGCAUUAAUCGCCUCAAUAAAAGAUUGACUUAGUCUGACUGCUUUUUUUUUAUUCUUGCAAUUAGAUGAAUUAAGUGAGUUUCUUCUCCUACCAAAAUAUUUGUGUUUGGUUUAUAGAACCCAUUGUGGUGAAACACAAAGUAUGUGGCCAAGGUUGUUUGACUUGCCACCUUCAUAACUUGAGUGACAUAGUUUUUUUAUCUCUUAUACAACACCAAACAAGCAAAACAUUGCUUUCAGUUGGUUUCUCUCUCAUACUAAAUAGGAUAAAUUAAUUGAAAUCCAAUUCCUUUCAUUUUAUUAAUCCUUUUCAUUUCAACACUUCAUUACAAAUACAAUGUUAAGUGUAGGUUUUUACAAAAAAAAGUUACUUAUAAAAUAAAUUAAUUAAUUGAAAAAUAUGAAACUUAUAUUGAAUAAUCAAAUAAAUUCUUAAAUAUUAAAUUAUUUUCAAUCAUGACUUCUCACUUUACAUGCUUCCCAAUCAAUUUUACACAUAAAACUAAUAAUUAAUCUAAAAAUAUUAAAAAUAUUAUUGGAGAAUCAAACAAAUUAUUAAAAACUUUAAUAAUCAUAAUUGUAAAUUAGUCACAAUCACAUCUUCUCACCUAGAAACAAACACAAAAUAAUUAAGAGAAGGAAAAUGAAAGAAAGUGUAAGAUAGAAAAAUUAGUUGCCAAAUCGUUGGUUAUACCUCAUAUGCUUUGUUUAUGGUUGUACCUCAUAUGAUUUUAAAAUAUAUGCUUAAUAUUUUAAUUAAUACUUAAUCAUUGGAUUAUGAGUGAGCUAGUUCUUUAUGGGUCCUAGUAGUUCCCGUUUUGAGCUCAUAUACAUUGUUGGCAUGUGUUAUAAGGGUUGGAUUGACUUUAGGUUCACUGUUGUGGAAAAAAAUGUUUUUGUAAUUAUGCAAGGUUGCGUAGGAGUAAGUGAACAAGGUAUCUCAGUAAGGCUAAUUGAUUAAUAAUUAACUAGGCCUUAUUGGGUUCAUUAAUAAAUUAGGACUCAUUUUGAGCUAAAUUAAGUGACCCAAGCCUUUAGUGAAUUCAAGUCACUCAAGCUUAAUGGGGAACUCUAUCAAUACCCCCUUAAAAGUUAGGGUUUCCAUAGUUUUUUCUAGAGAGUCAUAGCCUCUAGCCUCUCUUUCAUCUCCAUCGAAAGUGUGUCAAGGUUAAGGUUUUAAUCAUCGGGCAGAAGAGUACAUGACUUCUACGACUUCGUUCUUUGUCUUCAUCGCGUAGAUUUGAUUUCGGAACAUCUGAAUCUAAGGUAUGUUUCUUGUUAGCACUUUUUCAAUCCUUAUAAAGUUAAUGUAAUUUUUUUCAUUGUGCAUAAGAUUUAAUACAAUAGUUUUGCAUGUUCGUAACUUGAUCUGAGCUUGGGAAAAUGAGAGAUCCAGGUUUUUCCUUUCAAUGAUAUCCCACAAAAGACAGUUAUAUCCCCUUGAGUAAUCCUAAGAUGAACAAUCAAGUUGGAUUUAUGAUCAUGACGACUCCAUUAAAUUGGAAUUUAAAAUUUUAUCCUGAUUGGUGAAAGAAACAUCAAGUGAUCAUAGAAAGGUGUAACUUAAUUGUUUGAUAGCAAACUCUAAUUAAAUUAUGAAUAUCAAUUCAUGGGGGACAUAUGUAAUGCAAUAGCAAGUUAUGGAUUGAGAAAAUUAUUAAUUCAUUCAUUCAUUCAUUCAUUCAUUCAAGUAAUGUAUAUAAAAUAUUGAAAUGCAAUUGUGGUUUGACUUAUUCUAGUUUAAAUAAAUUAAAGAAAAUGAUUUUGCAAUGAAAGUUCAUCAAUAAGGUUUAAACCAAAGUUAUCAUUGAAACUUUUAGUUCUUAAACCAAAUAAAUAAAUAAAUAAAAUUAAUAGUUGUAUAGUGAUUAGGUUGUCUCUACAUGAAACUUUAGAUCAUCUGUUGUAGGAGGUAUGAGUGCUAGUUGGAAGCAAAAAUAUAUAAAAAAAUUAAAUUGAGAAAGAGAAGACCCCUAGAAAGAGCAAAGAGUUAUUAAAAUUCCUUUUCUUAAGCUCGACGCACCAAUAGGGCUUUGAACCUAUGCUUGUGACUUUAGGAUCAAGCCGAGGGUUUAUACCAAAGUAGUUCUAGUGGACAUGAGCAUUAAUCGCCUCAAUAAAAGAUUGACUUAGUCUGAUUGUCUUUUUUUUAAUCCUUGCAAUUAGAUGAAUUAAGUGAGUUUCUUCUCCUGCCAAAAUGUUUGUGUUUGGUUUAUAGAACCUAUUGUGGUGAAACACAAGGUAUGUGGCCAAGGCUAUUUGACUUGCCACCUUCAUAACCAAAGUGACAUAGUUUUUUUUAUCUCUUAUACAACAUCGAACAAGAAAAACAUGCUUUCAGUUGGUUUCUCUCUCAUACCAAAUAGGAUAAAUUAAUUGAAAUCCUAUUCCUUUCAUUUUAUUAAUCCUUUUCAUUUCAACACUUCAUUACAAAUACAAUGUUAAGUGUAGGUUUUUACAAAAAAAGUUACUUAUAAAAUAAAUUAAUUAAUUGAAAAAUAUGAAACUUAUAUUGAAUAAUCAAAUAAAUUCUUAAAUAUUAAAUUAUUUUCAAUCAUGACUUCUCACUUUACAUGCUUCCCAAUCAAUUUUACACAUAAAACUAAUAAUUAAUCUAAAAAUAUUAAAAAUAUUAUUGGAGAAUCAAACAAAUUAUUAAAAACUUUAAUAAUCAUAAUUGUAAAUUAGUCACAAUCACAUCUUCUCACCUAGAAACAAACACAAAAUAAUUAAGAGAAGGAAGAUGAAAGAAAGUAUAAAAUAGAAAAAUUAGCUACCAAAUCAUUGGUUGUACCUCAUAUGCUUUGUUUAUGGUUGUACCUCAUAUGAUUUUAAAAUAUAUGCUUAAUAUUUUAAUCAAUACUUAUAAUUGAUUAAACUUAUAAUUAAAUGAUAAAAUAAAUAUUGGGCAAUCAUAGUAAAUUUGUUAUAAUCACUCAUCCUACCCACAAGCUUUUCCAAAGAAGAAAAAAAAUUAGUUAGUAACUUAAAUGAGGAAUUUAAGUUAAAUUAUGCUUAUGGAUCAUAGAUAUUAAGAGAUUAAUUUAAAAAGCUGGUAAUGAUGUACCAUAAAAAUUUCAUUAAUAUUGCCACUAAUAUGUCUACAAUAAAUUUAAAUAAAAUAAUUUUUAAAAACUUUUUUUUUUUUUUCUGCUUUUGAAAAAAUAUUUUUCAAAUGUUGCAAUGAUACCCACAUCUUCUCAAUGUUCACAAAUUUCUCACUUUUGAAUUGAGAUAAAGAUAAAUCAUUUGACCUACAAAAAACAAACAAAUGUGGCCAAUAACGAUAUCAUAUUAUAUGGAGCACCAGGAAUGGAGAAAGGUAGCCCACUCUCCAUUGGCAAAAUAAAUCCUUGGGAGACAAAAUGGGCAUGGCCAUCACUCUUGGUCUCCCUACCCUCCACCACUCCUUUGUGAGCUUAUAUUAACCCAAAUAUCUCAGUAUUUUCACACCACAUCAUCAUUCUUUCUUUUUUAUUUUUUUUUUCUCUUUUCUUUUUGGCCCAAUAAUUAUGAUUUUCCAUACAAGCAAAAGUUGGUCAAUUAUGAUUGCAGUCUUGUAGCUCAAUGCAAAGACACCACUAUUCUUUAGGAUUUAUUUAUUUGUUUGUUUGGCAGUAAAUAUGAUGAUUCAAAUAAAGAAAUGGACCCAAGUUUUGCUGACAUGGUGGAGCACCCAGAGGAAGUGCCCCAAUAUUUAAAUGACCCUACUUUCAGAUUUGAGUGGGGUAUGAUCCAUGACCUAGCAUAGAUAAACGAACUAUUAUAACUAACAUUGUUUUGUACUAUACCAUGUGUAGCAGCUUAAAGAAAACUUGUGUUCUUGAAGUUGAAAAUCUUAUGCUACUAAUCAUCAUUGUUGUGUGUCAUGCCAUGCCCGGACUAAUGGUUAUUUAACCUUUCAAGUUUUCAAAAUCUCAGCAUGUGAAUCAUAUACCAAAAUUUGUAAUAGUUCUGGGGGGUCUGUUAUAAAUCAUGAAAAGUGUGAAAAAUAAUUUGAUUUAGAGGGUGUUUGUUAUUUUACCUUUUUUGUUAAAAGUAAUUUACGUUCAAAUUUAAAUAUUUUUUUUUCUUACAUUUUCAUGACUUAUUAUAAUUUGUUGGGUGAAAAAAAAAAGUGAAGUAAAUACAAAAAGCCUAAAUAUUUAGUUUUUUCUAACUCGAAAAAGUAACAUAUUGAUAUUUUUUUUUUUACUUUUUAAUGAUUAAUAAAAAUAAAAUAUUAUAAAAAUAAAUAACUUAAUACUUAAUAUUAUAAGCAUUAUUUAGUUUUUUAAGUUUUAUUUAGAAUUAACUGAAAAAAUAAACACCACCUUCUUAGUAAUUUUUUUUUUCCAAAACAACCAUCAAGGUGGUAUCAAUCCUUUUUUGUUUUUUUCCCUUAUAAUAUUUUACAAAUUUAAAAAAUUUAAAGGAAAAAAAAAUCUAAAUCUGAAGAAAUAUAAUGAGCAAAUCUAGCAUUAGAGCUUCAAAACUUAGCAUAUGUUGGCAUUUUGGAGGAUUUUAGAGCUAUCUUUUUAUUUUGGUUUAUGUUUUUAAUAAGCUUUUAUUUAUUUUACUAACUAAUUGAUUUAUCUUAAUGAAUCCAUGACAGCUACUUCAAUUAAGUGAAUAAUCCAAAAUCCAAGUUAGGUUUUUUUUUUUUUUUUUGUCUCAUUUUUCUACUACUUUUCCAUUUAUUUCAGAAUUUUGCUAUAUUAUUUUCAAGAAAGUUAUUGGUCCAUGAGUUUCCAAUGCAAGUCGGAUGGACAAGUCCAACAAUACCGUCGCACUAUUGUCUAACGAGCGAGCUAAUGUACUCUAGGACAAGCUCUUGCAACCAAGGUAAUAUGUACUCCACUAGGACAAGCUCUAGCAAGCAAGGUAGUUGGGAGAUUCUCAAUUAUGCCCCUCUAAUGAUCGAGUCAGUACAAGGGUCCAAAGUAAUAUUUGCACAAAACAAUCAAUUUAAGGUUGGUUUUUCAACUUCAACAAGCAUGAAGUUGAGUGAACUUUAGUAUGGGAGAUGAAAUGAGGAUGUGAAGGGCAUGAACAAGGUUGCCCUCUUCCAGGGUUCCAACACUCAUUUAUGGUCAUCACUAAUCUAACCAUGGUUGGUUAGCCAUGGUCUUGUUGACUAAUGCUUUGUUGUCCUAUGAGAAUAGAGUCUGAUUGUCAUUAACUAGUUAACUUUAAUCUUUCAAGUGAUCCCAUGAUCAUUAUGCCUUUGUUGCCAUUUGUAAGGAAGCUCAGAUUACUCUGCCCCCUGACCUUAGAUCAAUUAGGUGCAUGUAAAUUUUUUUAAGCUUUUCUAGAUUUAUGCUCAAUGGAAACAAUUGAUAUUAAAAACAAUUUUAGAUCCAAAAAAUUAGGUUUAGAUGUGCUUACCAAGAUCUAGAUGUUUCUAGAUUGUUUCAUGUUUAUGAAGAGUACAACAACAAUCAAAGAAGAUCUUGAACACCCUGAGCCUUCCCUUUGAAGACUCCUCCUUAAAUCUUAGCACUCAGAUGACGGAAAUUUGAAGGGUAGAGGUUAGGGUUCUCUAUUUCGAAUGUAAGGGAGACUAGAAAAAGUCUAAAGCCUUAACCCACCUUAAAGGUGUAUUUAUAGGCUUCCCAUGGACUUAAGUGACUUGAACCUACCUAAGGCUUUGAUCUAUCUCUGUAACAUCUGAUACUACAGUUGACCUGUCCUUGUACAUAACCUGUUCAUUAAAUAUCACAUUUCUACUUCUGAUAAUUUUCUUGUUUUGUUCAUCCCAAAAACUAUAGUCAAAUUUCUCAUCACUAUAGCCAAUAAAAAAACAUAUUUUAGACUUUGCAUCAAGUUUACUACGAGCGUCAUAAUCAAUAUGAAUAUAAGAAACACAACCAAAAACUUUUAAAUUUGAAAACUUUACCUCUUUACCGCUCCAAACCUCCUCAGGAAGUUUGAACUCCAUGGGAACUGAUAGUCCUCGGUUUAUCAGGUAAGCUGCAAUGCUAACAGCAUCAGCCCAAAAAGUUUUUGAUAGUCCAGCAUGCAACCUCAUACUUCUAGCACGCUCAUUGAGAGUUCUGUUCAUGCGCUCAGCCACACCAUUUUGUUGUGGUGUCCUAGGGAAUGGUCUUCUCCAUCCUAAUUCCCUGUGCAGCACAAUACUCAUUGAACCCUCCAUCUAUGUACUCUCCUCCAUUAUCUGACCUCAAACAUUUUUACUUUCAAACAUGUUUCUGUCUCAACCAUGACCUUCCACUUCUUAAAAGUUUCAAAUACAUCAAAUUUAUUUUUCAGAAAAUAAACUCAUACCUUUCUGCUUGAGUCAUCAAUAAAAGUGAUGUAGUACCUUGAACCUCUAAGGGAUACAACCGAAGAAGGCCCCCACAAAUCAGUGUGUACUAGUUCCAAUUUUUCAACCUUCGGUGUCCAGCCAAAUUUCAAGAAGCUCGCAUUUUUUUGCUUUCCUAAGAUGCAACUUUCACACAUGUCAAAAUCAAUGGACUUCAAUUCUAAUAGUUUUCCUUUUGACAACAGUAUCUUCAUCCCUUUCUCACUCAUGUGACCAAGUCUGUUGUGCCAUAGGCUUAUAUCAAUACUUGCAUCAGCAACUGCAAUUGUGUCUCUUGGACAUGAGGUCAUAUACAGAGUACCAAUCUUCUUUCCACGAGCCAAUACCCUAACUUCAUUUGUAACCUUCCAAGUACCACCAACAAAUAGUAUUGCAUAUCCUUCAUCAUCAAGUUGUCCAACAGAAAUCAGAUUCCUCAUCAGGUCAGGAAUAUGUCAAACCUUCUCCAGUAACCAAACAGACCCAUUGGGCAAUGAUAUUCGAACGUCUCCCAAACCCACAACAUCCAAGGCUGAACCAUCAGCCAAAUACACUUUACCAAAAUCACCUGCAGCAUAAUUCUGUAUGAUUUCUCGGUGUGGAGUGGUAUGAAACGAAGCUCCUGAAUCCAAAACCCAAUCAUCAAGUGGAUUAUCUACUGCAAGAAGUAAUGCAUCCUAUACCUCUUCUGUUACAACAUUAGCAUAAUCAUCUUCAUUCUUCUUCUUAGGACUUUUGCAUAACCUUCUAAAGUGAGUUGUUUUCCGACAGUUCCAGCAUUGUAUUUGUUGGCCUGAUCUAGAUUUGCUUAUGUUACGAUUAGAAUUUCUGGAUUUUGAUCUACCCCGGUUUGAAUUUCUGUCAUUACCUCUGCCUCUUGUCUCAAGGUUUAGGGCAGAACCAGAUCCUGAGGUUUUGCCUGCAUCUCUUCGGCGAAUCUCCUCAGCCAGAAUUAAAUCUCGUAUAUCAUUGUACUUAAGCUUUUCCUUUCCCAUAGAAUUGCUUAUUGUCAUCCUCAUUGCCUCCCAACUGUUUGGCAAAGAAGCCAAGACGAUCAGAGCACGAAUCUCAUCAUCAAAAUCAAUUUCUACAGACGACGAUUGAUUUGUGAUUGUAUUAAAUUCAUUCAAAUGUUGUGUAACUGAUGCAUUCUCUGCCAUCUUCAAAUUGAACAAUUUCUUCAUCAGAUGCACCUUAUUGUUUGCAGAUAGCUUUUCAUACAUACCGGACAAAGCCUUCAUCAGAUCUGCUGUGGUAUUCUCCUUUAUAACAUUGUGUGCAACAACCUAGACAGAGUUAACCUAAUAACUCCUAGAACCUAUCUAUCAAGAAGCGCCCAUUCUUCAGCCUUCAUACUCUUAGGUUUUGUCCCCAAAAGAGGCAAAUGCAAUUUCCUCCCAUAGAGAUAAUCUUCAAUCUGCAUCCUCUAAUACGCAAAGUUUGUGCCAUCAAACUUUUCUAUUCCAGACGUCUUUCCUACUUUCUCUGCCAUUGCUCCCACUCAAACCUAACCCUAGGCUCUGAUACCAAUUGAAGGGAAUUAAGCCGAAUUCCCAACCUGUGAGAAACAAAAAAUAGGGAAAACACACGCCAAAGAAAAACAAUCACACGCACAAGACAGUAUUUACGUGGUUCGGUAAUUUGCCUAAGUCCACGGAGUUGCAGGGUUAUCACUAUUAUCAGGGAAGAAUACAGAGUGCUGCCUUUGGCUACAAUAUUUUCUCUCUAUAUAUAACACGGCAACCACACCACACUAAAAAACCCUAAUUACAAAAGGUGGUUCCACAAUGGGCUAAACGGACCCAAAAAGGCCCAAGUCGGAGUGCUCAUGGACAAGCCUUAGUAAAUCUCCCAUUAAAAACCAUGCAAUAUUAUUUCAGGUCGAGUCGCCAAACCGGAUAAAACAGAACUAGGCUCCACAAAGCCUGACACAUCCCACUACAAAGAGUCAGUUUCACUCUAGUACUCUAUCUAUAUUACAAUAAUACACUAAGUGUUCAGGUCUAUGACUUGUUAUCCAUUAUAUAGAGUCUCCCCAUAAAUUGGUAUCUGUAAUCUAACAAGGUGAAAGUUAUCAGCCUUUUAAGAUUAUCUUCAUCACACCCUAGAUUUUACACUUACUAAUUAAUCCCAAUACAAAAUUAAUUCUCUCAAAACUAGGGACACAAAAAUUUAAAUGCUGAGUUUCUAGUUGAUUUUGUUCAAAGUGAGGAUGUGGAAACCUAUUAUAAAGAAGUAUGCACCCUGUGAUAAUCUUUGAAAUCAUUAAUUAAUAAAAUAUGAUAUGUUUCACAAAAGAAAACUUGUGUCGUAUUACUUUGUACAUAGCAAAACUCUACGGUUCACUAAGGGUAGCCCAUACUACAAGUGUACAAAAACAAAUAUAAAUUAUAUCAUUUCCUUAAAAAUGAUUUAAUCUUCAUAUGAUACAGAGGCAAAAGCCUCAAAACACUUUCAACACAAGCAAAACAACAUCCAAUUAAUAGAAAAGCAAUGCUCAAGCAUUAACCCUAACAUAUGACUUCUGACUUGCAUUUAAAAGUGAAAGGGAAAGGGUGAGUUCACAACUAAGUAGGAAAAUUUAUAACCAUCCUAUGCAUAUCCUUAAAAACCUUGAAUUAAACAUAUAGUAGUAUGCAUGAUAAACACUUUAUAACAAUUAACAAAUAUGCAAUAAUGCCAAAUAUGCAUGCAAAUGGUUAAUGGGUUCAUCUCUGAUUUGCCUCAUCCAUUCUCUUACACUUGAUAAGCAACUAAUCCCCAUCAAUGUACAUAUCAACAAUCAAUGUUUCAAAAGGUUCUCAACCAUAAAUAAUAACUAUUCUAAGACUAUCACCCACAUGACCAACCCCGUGUCUUUAGGGACUUUAAAAUUAAAUGUUCUUAAAAAUGAUCAAUUACUAAUUUUUUUGUUGAAUGAAAUUAAAGGUAAGUUAAUAUUUUUUAAUAUUAAUUUUCUGUUUUUAUUUUGAAGAAAACAAAAAAUUUUGUUUCAACACAUGUUGAUGGUGUUUUUUUUUUAAAAAAAAAAACGUUUAAUAUUCUAUAAAAAAAAUUUAAAAAUAUAAAAUAUAAAAAAUGAAAUCCAAAAUAUAAAAAAUAUUAUGAAUGUGAAACAAAAUAAAAUAUUAUAUAUAUAUAUAUAUGAAAUCAAUAUUAUUUAAAAUAUUAGUAUUUGUUUAUUUAUUUAUUAGAUUAUUAAUUAUUAUAGGUGAGUAUAUUUUCAUAUUAAAAACUAUUUUAUUUUAAUGUAUUAAUUAAUUUAAAAUAAAAUUUUAAUAAAGAAAAUGAAAUAAAUAAUGAAUAAAUGAAUGAUAUUUUAAAAAAAUAAAGUUUAUUUUUUUAAUUAAGUAGAUUGGGAAAAUGAGAAUUAUUCUAUAAAAUUAAUUAAAAUUAGAGGAUUAAAUUUAAUUUAUUUAAUUAUAAUAUAAAACUUAAUUUAAUUUGAUGAGAAGGUGAGAAUAGGACGGCUGGGAGUGGGAGGGAAAAAAAAUAGAAAAAUAAAUAAAAACAGGUGGGGGAGGCCCAAAUAUUGGGUUGUUCAUGUGAGGGAAAAAAAAAGUAAAAAAGAAAGGAAAAAAGAAAAAGGACUUUAAUUGGUUGAAGGGCAUUUUCGGGCGGAGGAUAUUGUUAUAGUGCAUGAAAAUGGGGAUAUUUUUGGUCAAACUGUACUUUCCCUGGCCAUUUUUGGGCUGUAUUUUCUUAUUUUAUUUCAUAAUGCAACAUAUUUACAUAAUUCUCCCUUAUUUUCAAGUCAAAAAUUAAUUAAAAAAAGAAUUAAAAGUAAAUUUAAUUUAAUUUAAUUUUGAUUGAUAUACUAAGUUGGAGUGUUAUAGAAGUUAAAAGUUAAAUAUAUUUUACCUCUUCAACUUUUUACGUAUUUUACACCUUUCCUUUUUAUAUUUAAAACUUAAUACUUUAUUCUCCAAAUUUAUUGAAAAACAACGCUUUACCUUUCAAUUACAAAACUUUCUUUAAAUUAUAAAAGAAGUUGUUCUUUUUCAUACUCUAAUCUAAGAUUGGUCUGAACUUGGGUAGAAUAAAGUUUAAAUUGAUAGUGUUGAAGUGAAAAUUUUCAAACACAUUCAAAAUAUGACAAUUACUAAUUUUGAUUUUUGAUUAUAAAAAGAUAUUUGCAUGUGUAUUCACGAUUUUUGCAUGUGAAUGACAACUUUGAACUUAGAGAAUACGCAUUUUUCUUUAUAUUUGUCUUAUUUUUCAACUUAAUGUACCAUUUAUUGACUUUUUAAUAAGUUUGAAAAACAAAAUGUUGUUACUUAAUAAAAUUAGGAGGUAAAAUAUUGAAUUUUGAAUGUGAAAGGACAAAGUGUAAGAGACAUCAAAUAUUGAAGGGGUAAAGUGUAUUUAAUCCAAAAGAUAAAUUUAAGUAAAAAAAUUUCAAUCUUAAACUAACUUGCUUUAAGAGUUAGAAGUGAAUAAAACAAACCAGAGCUUAAUUAUAAAAAAGAGAACUUUUUAGGGCAUGGUUGAUUCUAUAAUAAAAAUGACUUUAAAUAAGAGAAUCAGGGAGUAUUUUCAAUUGUGAAGACAAAUAAAAAGUGGAGUAUGAUGUAGGUUGUGGGGAAGUGUGGGCGGUGGCGCGGGGUGAGGUGGGGUCCCAAAAAAUCGGAAGAAGAGCCAUCGAAAAAGUUGAUAGAAACGUGAACGAGGCAACAUGAGUCAAAUGUCAAUGUUCAAAGGAAGUUAUAACUGAGGAAAAUUGACCUUUGUCAAGCCUUACAGGACGAUGGCUGUGGCUCUAACCAGUAUGAAAGGCAGCCACACCAGUCAACCACGAGACCUCCGACCUCCGGAGGAGAGAAAGUUUGUCCAAUAUCCAUCGCCACCACACUGAAUCACUGAGUGUGAUGGUGCGGUGGGUGGUGGGUGGACCACAAACAUGGAGCCAAGCGUUUAAACAGUCAAACAAACACUAUGCGUGGCACAUGUGUGGCCAGGCUCUCCCCCUCAUGGUAGGUUGCUUCUUCCAUUGUUUUCAUACUUGAAGCUUCCAAAAUCUAAAUCUAAAUCUCUAUCUCUAUACAUACAUCCACGAGAAACAUGGUUUUAGUUAUAAAAAAAAAAAACAAUUAAUUACAUGCAAACCCAUUCUUCCACGGUUCCACCUACGUAUUUUCACUUAACGCGGUGUUAGUUGGGUCUUGUGAUAAGUAUUCCUAUGCCUUUGUGUGAAUCAAUAUUCUCGUGUUUUUGCAUUUGACACGUGUAAUUCGCCUCUCACUCUAUCCCCAUCUUGACUUUUCAAAUUACAAUAUUUAAAUUGGCUUCAUUAAUUAUCCAAAAGAAAAAAAAAAUGAAUGAAAGAGAAUAUAGAAAAAUUAGACAAACCAAACUAUAUUUUUGAGCAAUGCAUAUUUCUCAAAAAAAUAAAAAAUGAGAAAAAAAAAAUCCACCAUUCUUUAAGAAAAUAAAAACAAAAAAUUCUUUCAAUAAUUUUUUUUUUCUUUUUCUAAUUCAUGUUAUUUAAAUAUUAAAAAUCUGUUUUUCUUAAUAUUUAUUUUUUCUGGCUUUAAUAUUUUUUAGGAGCUAAGUAUAAUAUAACUUGUAAAACGAUGUAUCAAUAAGUUAAGGUUAUGUUUGGUACACAUAAAUAAAGAGUGAGAAUAAAUAUCUUAUUUAUUUUCUUAUACAAUAUUUUAUCUAUAUUAAUUGAUUUAAUGGCAACAAAUAAUAAUAAUAUGCUUGAAACAUUUGACUACGGAACCUAUAAGAUUCCAAGGCCCAUGAAAAACUCGCAAAUUGUGCAUGAGUUUGAUUUUCACAUGAUAUUGUGUAUAUUUUGUAUGUAAUUACAUCUUUCCAUUUAUGUAUUAUAAUUUCACUGGCUCUUUACAUCACUACCCCACCCAAGGUUCACGCUCUCAACAAAAAUGGUAAGUUCCUUGUUUUUUCUUAACGUUUUUCAAAUCAAUUUUGAAAACUACACAAUAAACAACAAUUUUUUCAAAUAAAGUCAAGGCAAAGACGCUAAUGAAUCUUAGCAUGAUUUAAAUAGCAUUAGAUAAGGGUGAGUGUAAAAUUAAUAAGAUUAUUAUAUGCCAUCCCCAAAGAUUUCCUUGUGCAAACAAAUCUUUAAAGUAGAAACACGUGAAACAUGUUCAUAUAUUGAAGCAAAUACACCAUCUUCACCUGUUUUUCCUUAUCUAUAUAUAUGUAUAUAAUAUGAUAAGCAAAUCUUAUUAUAAAUGUAGAGGAGAGUUGGAUGGAUACAAUGUAUGAUUAUGAUAUGAUUUAGACGUAAUAACAACCACAUAUCAUAUUACUUAUAUUGGACAUAUCACAAUUAGCAUGGAUGAAAUAGACGUUGUAAUUAUCGGAGCUUUUACCAGUUUCUUUCACAUGCUUUUUAAAUGUACUGUUGAGAUGACUCCAAACUAGUUAGAUAUAUAAUCAUGCAUAAAGUCAUAUUUAAGACACUUUUUUUUUGUUUUAUUUGAGACACCUUUUUUUUUUUUUGGAUUUAUCCCAUGAUCAUUUCUAAUAUGAUUAAUUAUCAGUUUUAUCGUGCUUCUUUGGUUGUUAGAACUACGAAAACUGUUCAUUGAUCGAUUUCUCCUAAGAGACUUUGUCCCUUUCUAUUGACCUCCUACAACCACAUAGUAUGAAACAAAAGAAAAAAACAAUGUUCAAUUCCCUUCUUUGAAUUGUUGUUCCGAAAAGUAAAAUAUAAUCAAAAUUAUUUUAUAUAUAUAUAUAUAUAUAAUAGACAAUUUUAAUAUAAUUUUUAAUUUCAAUUUUUUUUUUAAACUUUGUAUUUUAUUUUUCUUAAUUUUUUCGUGAUUCCCAACUGGCACAUAGGGUUGGAUUGGGCAUGGAAGAGAUCUCUACCAAUGCAAGAACAAUAAUUUUUUUUAGGGGGUAAAAAAUAAGCAAAAAACAAAUUUCAAGGGGGGCACCGCUCUUGAUCCCUACAAUCUAGUCCAAGUCUUGAUCUCUCUAAGUCAACAUUUUAUUGGUUGAUAGAUGGCCUUGGACGUCCAAUCUUUAAGGUCUUUACGACUAGUAAUGAGGGUUGUCUCAUGUCGGUUGAUAUCGUGUAAGAUAAGGUACGAUAAAAACUUGUUCAAUUGAAAAAUGAGCUAUCUAAUAAUCAUAUCAGAAUGACUUGAAAUAUUUAAUAAAUGAGUUAAAUUAAAUUAUUUAUAAAUUGAGAAUGGCAAGGGUUCAAACCCGGAUUUUUGAUAAUUGUAUAGUAAAUUUUAAAUUAAAAUUUUAAAACAUAAUGUAUUGAAAAAUAUUUCAAAUCUACAACACUUUUUGCUACUUUGAAAGGUCUCUCUUGAAAAUAUACCUUUUAUCAAUUUUAUAUCAAUGAUACAUGUUCAAAAAAAUUGAAUUUAUAUUUAAAGUGUCUUUUUAAGAAACACCUUUCAUAAUUUUUAUAUUAAUAACACACGUUAAAAAUUUAGAAUUUACAUUAAAAAUAUCUCUUUAUGGGACAUCUUUUACAAUUCUACAAAAUCAAAUUUAUAUUAAAAGUAUCUUUUGAAGAUACACUUUUCAAAAUUUUCAUAUCAAUUGCAUGGUAAAAAAAUUGAACCUUAAGAGACAUUUUUUAUAAUUUCAUAAAAUUAAAUUUAUAUUAAAGGUAUAUCUUGAAGAGACAUCUUCAACCAUUUUUGUAUCAAUUAUCUAUAAAAAUAAUUGAAUUUAUAAUAAAAAUGUCUUUUCAAAAUACAUCUUCCGCAAUUUUAAUUAAAUUUAUAUUGAAAAAUUUUCCUUCAAAAGACACUUUUAGUAUAAAUUUAAAUUUUUCGAUAGGUGACUAAUAUAAAAAUUAUGAAAAGUGUUUUUCAAAAGGCGUAUUUAAUCUAAAUUCAAUUUUGUGAAAUUGUAGAGAUGCCUUUAAUGUAAAAUCAAUUUUUUUUUUUUUUUUACCAUAUGACUGACAUGAAAAUGGUGAAAGAUGUCUCUUCAAGAGACACUUUUAGUAUAAAUUUGAUUUUAUGAUAUUGUGGAAAUGAUAUUUCUUUAGUGUAAUUUUUUUUUAAAAUGUGUAUGACUAAUAAAAAAAUGAUGGAAAAGUAUAUUUUGAAGAAAUACCUUUAGUGUAAAUUUAAUUUUUUUUUAAUAUAUAUCAUUAAUAUGAAAAAUAUGGAAGAUGUCUAUUUAAAAAACACUAUUGUAAAUUUAUCAAUAAUUUUGUAACUUUUUCAAGCUUUCAAGGAAAGAGGGGGUGGGGCCAUUUAUUAAGUGGAUUGAUAUGAUUAUAAUAUGAACAUGAUUAUACAUCGAAAUUCGUACCGUUGAAGUCGUGUUAUCGUGGGGUGUUAAAAUUGCCACCUUCAUCUUUAGGGUCCAAGUCGAAUUGGAUUACAGCCCAAAACCUGGCCCGAAACCUAAUGAGACCCGCCCAAAACAGAAAGCUGGCCUGAGCCCAAAAAAGCUUGAGGUUGAUGGGUUGGGCUCAAGCCUUUGCAAUUUUCCUUUUUUUAUUUACGUAGAGUUGACAUGAAAUGGAGCCCAUCAAGCGUAGCCCACAAUUUUUUUUUUUCACUUUUUUUUUGCUUGACAAAGUUCUAAUAUUUUUAAUUUAUCUUAUAUAUUUCAUAAUUUAUAAAAUAUAUAUGUUAAAUUAAGAAUUUAUUCAAGGGCAAAAAUUAUAGUACAUAAUUUUAUAAAUUAGAGAUUUAUAUAAAAACUGUAAUUUAUAAAUUGUAGUCUUCAAUAAACUAAUUAUCAAAAUGUGUUUCAUAAUUAUUAUAACUAUAAAUUACAACUGAAAUUUAAAAUUUAUUUAGUAAUAUUAAAAUUAAAAUAAUAAAAAUUAACUAGGCAUAAGCUUUGGGCCCAGGCCUUGGAUUUAGAAGAGGUAUGGGCUCGAAUUUGUCUUUAGCUCGAGAAGCCCGACUGAACCCAAUUGAAGCCCGAACUUUUUGGUUUAAGUCGGAUCAGGUGACCCAAAAUGACAUUGGUGCUAUAAGUUAGGUGAUUUUAUUUAUUUAUUUAUUUAUUUUUAGCAAAUAAUAGCUCUUUCUUGUUGGAAAAUAAAAUAAAAUUGGGGAAAGGAGGCUUCAGUAGGCGUUUUUAUUUAUUUUUAUAUACAUGAAAUAAACAUACAAGAGCCCCUAAUCAUGGGCUCAUUACAAAGUUGUAAGGAAUUAAGCCUCAAUUUCCAAUUCAUGGGAAGUAAUUUCCAAUUGUUUUAUUAUAAGGAAAUGCAAAUUUUGUGAAAGAAUUUUGUCUUGAUAUGAAACUAUCUUGAAGGUGAGUAGUUAGCUCAAACUACUAAUCUCAACAUUUAAAUUUUUUUAUUAGUUAUAUUAAUUAUAAUUAAAAGUUUAUGGAUCUCAUGCACUCGGAAAUUCAAUCUCAAAAGUGAGCACAUGAUGUAAUGUGGAAAAACUAUAUAGAACCCCUACAUGUAAAAAGUUAGCCCCGGAAUGCUAAAUAAGCUACUAAAUAUGAGAAAAUAAUAAACAAUUUUAUUUGACCGAAUGUAAUUACUCUCUAGGGUUUUAUACAAUAACUAGUUAUCAUCUUUUUUCACAUGCCCAACUUAGUGCUCCUCCAUGCUCCUUAAUAGAUCAUUUGAAGUCCUCAUUGAAGUGUAUGUGACACAAGUCUCUAACCUUUGUUAUAUUUAAAUGAUAUUUUAAAAAAUAAUGUUGAAAGUUUUGAGAGAUGGAGACAUAAGCUUACCGAAUGACUAUUUUUUCUAGAUCAUCUAAUUUUAAGAAAAUAAUCAUUUUUACACUUGACAAAACCUAGGACUAAAUUUGGAAAACAAAAUAAAUAUUUAAUUUUACCAAAUUACCCUUAAAAACAUACAAAGAAUAAAAAAAAGCUAUAUGAAGAAAAUCAAGCAACAUUUGAAUGUUUUGUAGAGAGCAUUUCAACAUGGCUAAGCAUUUGAAUGUUGACUGAGUGACGUUCAAACAUCCUAUUGGAUGUUGGAAAACUCCUUGUCGGGCCUCAAAUGCAUUUUCUAUAUAAAAACCUCAAACGUGUACAUACUCCGAAAAACAUUGAUGCUAAAAAUAAUCCAAAAUUAUCUUUGGAUUAGUUCAAAGUUAAAUUGACAUGUAUAACAUUAAGGGAAGUACAUCACAACCUAAUCAAUAAGAAAUGAAACAAAAUUGUUAAUCUAAACUAAUACAUAAACAAUUCUCCUUGUAACAAUUUUGUGAUAAAAUUAAAUGAAUACUAUGAGGCCUCCAUAACUUAAAAAAAAAAAAAAAAAAAAACAAAAGACCUCUAAGGGUAAUCUUGUCUUAAUGAUUCCUUACUUUGGAGUCAAUUACAUGUGAGUGCGCAAACUGAAACAACAAACCCAUGAAAAACAAAGGAUGGCAAGAAGGAUAAUAACAUGAACAAGCAAUAAAAUGAUUUGUGCUCAAUAAUUGAAUGAAUGGUUGCUCCAUUACUAUUACUCCCCUUUUGUCACAAAAAUGAUAAACAAAUAGGCAAAAAAAUAAAUAGAUCAAUGAAAACCCAUAGCAAACAAUUAAUCAACCUAGAUAAAAGUAUAAAUGAGAAAUAAAAAGACAAAUCCCAAAUAUAAUCCAAAAUAAGUAAAGUGUAAAAUAUAUCCACAAUACAAUCCUAAAUAGAUAGAUAAAUGCAUUAAAACAUGGAAAAAAAGGAACCUAUCUCACAAAUGUUGUUUCAUUAAGGAGAACUAUGGAUCUACAUUUGGGGAAGGAAAUGGUUGCAAGCUAUGACUUGAACACUAUGAGGUGCUCCUCCACCCUUUGCAUCUUGGUCUCUAGAGACCUUAUUAGAAAUAGCAAGGUAUUUUAGCCAUAAGAAAGUUAUAUGAGUUUGUUAUUUUUCUUAUUUUCUUUGCUUUUGGUAAGAUUGAAGGUUGUUAUAGAAUAUGUUAUUUUCAACCUCCAUAAAACGUUUAGCAUUUUGUCAUUUACACAUUUUUUUUCAAGAAAUAAACAUUUUAUUUUCAUGAGAGCUUUCUUUUUUAAUAUGGUAUCAAAGCAAAUUUGCUCUACUAUCCUCUACUCCUUCCUUUAUGUUUAAUGGCUUGUGGUGGUCAUAAUAACAUUGCCAUCACCAUACCCAUUGAUCCACUAGCAAUAGAAGAUUCCAACAAUCCUUUCUUCCUUCACAAUGGAGAACACCAUGACCUUGUUUUGAUUUCUCACCACUUGAUGAGCUGUGUUUACAAUACUUUGAGUUAAGCCAUGCUUAUGGCUCUCACUGCGUAGGAUAAGGAUUGGUUUUAUGGAUGGUAGCAUUCCUCAUCCAAAAACUACCUAUCUUCUUUUUGGUGCUUAGACUUGUUGUAAUAAUGUGGUAAUCUCUUGGAUUCUUAAUGUUAUCACUAGAGAAGUUGUAGAUAGUCUCCUCUAUAUUGAUACUACAUUUGAGAUCUAGGAUGGUCUUCAUGAGAAAUUUCACCAGAGUAAUGACCCUUACAUGUUUUAGAUUAAGAAACACCUUGUUACUCUUCAUCAAGGGGCUUUUGAUGUCAUGCUUACUAUACUUGACUCGAAACCCUUUAAGAUGUGUUCAAUGAUUUUUAGCUAGUACUUAUUUACCAUUGUGGCAUAAUGAGACCUUGGGUGGAUUAUCAAUAACAAGAAUGUGUUAUGCAACUUUUGAUAGGUCUCCGUGAAUUCUAUGCUCAAAAUUGUCUCAAAAUUUGAUGAUGGAGCCUUUACCUCCAAUUACCAAGGUUUUUGCAUUAGUUGUCUAAGAAGAACAUCAAUGAGCUAUUAAUCUUGGGAUUUUUUUUUUGUUUUGUUUUUGUUUGUUUUGUUUUUGUUUUUUUUUUUUGAAUUGGCAUUGAGGAUUGACAAUUCAUUAAUUUCUCUUUCUUCUGCUACUACCUCAAUAAAUAAUUUCACUCCCAAGCCUAAGUGUGAUCGCCUUCUUUAUUUUCACUAUGGUUUACAAGGUUAUACUAUUGAGAAAUGUUUCAAGCUUCAUGGUUCUCCCCUUAGGUACAAAAAUAAACCCAAACCUCCUCCAAUCAAUGCUUAAGCACAUCAGACCUUAUUGACCUUUGUUGAAUGAUCUACCAUUGGCUUGUUUGACUCUCUUCAUAAUUCCUUGACUAAAAAUCAAUUCCAACAACUCAUUGGUUAUCUAAGUUCGCAACUCCAGUAGCCUAGCCCAUAUAUUUUCAGCUUUAGUGGCAUUUUCUCCUUCUCAUCUACUUCUAAUUUGAUUUUCCUUCCUCUAAUGGCUUGGAUUCUGGACACAAGUGCUAUGCACCAUGUUUGCUACUCUCUACAUCUAUUCACAUCCUCUAUCCAAGUAGACAAUUCCUUUGUUAUUCUUCCCAAUAGUCAUACUAUUCAAUUUUUUGAAUAGAUUUUGUAUAUUUUUCUAACCAUGUUGUCCUUAACAAUGUGCUGUUUGCUCCUAAAUUUUAGUUUAAUAUUUUUUUCAUUAGUACUCUUACCUAACAUAAUCACUAUUCUGUUAAUUUUCUUUCUACAUCUUGUCUUAUUUAGGACCAUUCUCAAGACUAAGUGAUUGGGAUGGGUAGAAAACAUGACAACUUUUAUAUUUUAGAUUCCAUUGAUUCACUUUCUAAGUUGUCUACAAUUUUAGCAAGUUGUAAUAAUGUCUUUUUGUCACAAAAUAAACUUUGACAUUACAGAUUAAGGUGUCCCUCUUAAGUUAAACUUUAAAUUUUACAUAAUGAAUUACAAAUUUCUCAAUUUUCUAAUAGUUCUCCACAUUGUUCAAUGUGUCAUCUUGUUGAACAACAAUGUUUGUCAUUUAUUUCUUUAAAUUCUUUAUCUGUCUCACCAUUUGAUUUGAUUCAUUAUGACAUUUAGGGUCUAUUUCAUGUUAUGACCAUUGAAGGACCACUAUUGAUGAUUGUGCUCGUUUUACUUAGGUAUAUCUUUUAUGUGCAAAAUAUGAUUUUACAAUAAUUUUUCUUCCAUUUUUUCCUCAUUCAAACAUAAUUUGGUGUGCAAAUUAAACCUGUAUGUUUAGAUAAUGCUCCUAAAUUAUCUUUUAUAGAUUUCAUUUGUGUAAAAAGCAUCAUUCCUUUCCAUUCUUGCACUCAUACUUCAUAACAAAAUUUUGUGGUUGAACAAAAACAUUAAUUGCACCAAAAUAUGUAUGAAUACUUUAGUGGUUCCCCCAAGCAUAGGGGUGUGGUUGUAACUUUGAAAAGAACCCAAUAAGUUGGGUGUUGAACCUUAGAGAAGAUAUCUUGGUGUUGGGAUUGAGCCCCUAAAAAUAAGACAUGAUGUUACAAAGUUAAACUUAACUAUCCCCUUGUUAUCCCUUUGGUGUAUUGACAUUGAUUUGAGCAUUCAACCCAUGUUUCUUACAUUGUACAUGACUUGAGUGCAUUAGGAGUUGCAUAGAAGAUACAAGUCAUGGGUUCCUUGUAAGUAGAUAAGUUGUCUACAGUUGGUUCAUGGAUUUAAGCAAUCUAGUAGACAUUGUAGUGCAUCACCUCCUAAUUCAAGGGAUGACUUGUCUUGAUCAUCAAGAUGAGUUUCCCAUGGUGAGUGUACUAGUGUAUGUGAUGCACAUUAUACAGGACCUACAGUGAAUGAUAACACAAGGCUAUCAAUUAUCAUGAUUCGCCAAACUACUAUACUGCAUAAACUCUCAACCUUGGGAGGAUAUUGAGUCUCUGUCAAAAUCAAUAGGAGGCUUUAACCUAUGGGUGAGGCCCUAAAGUGGUCAUAUAUCCAUAUAGAUUGGGUCACUGUUGAUGGAGGCUAGUGACAAUAGGUAUUCUCAAUAAAGGCACCAUGAUAUCUCAUAGGAUUGGGAUAGUGUGUUCCCUUAGGUGAUCCAAAGGCCAUGUGAUCAUGAUAUUUGUGGCCACAGUAAUUCCUUUAAUGGAAUUUGACAUUUGCUCCUUGGAGCUAGAGUCUGUCAUUUGAUCACAUAAUAAGCGAGAUCUGUAACUCAAAGAUUUGAGAGAUAAUUUUGAUAGGUGAUAAUACUACCUUAUUGGAUUACAGACACUGGUUCAUAGGAAGUCUACAUGUAGUGGAUAGUAGGUCACGGAUCUAAACACUUGCUAUUUCAUUGUAAUAUACAUAGGGUAUUGGAGUAUAGUAGACUCUUUGUAAUGGGAUGUUGAGUCAAUUUCAAAAUUUGGUUCUAAGGGAGCCAAUACUCCUAUGGGUCCCAAUGGUCCUCACUGUUAGCUCAUAUUCUUUUUUGGCAUGACUUAUGAGGGUUAAAUAAGUUUUUAGUUCACUUUUGUGUAUAAAGGUGUUUUGGUAAUUACGCAAGGUUGCAUACGGAUAAGUGAGUGGUAUCCCUAAACUGGGCUAAUUGAUUAAUUAGGCAUUGUAUGGUUAAUUAAUCAAUUAACAACCUUUUUGGGCUAAAUUAAGUUACCCAAGCCCAUUGUGGGUUUAAGUUACUUAAACCUAAUAGGAAGCCUAUAAAUAUCCCCUUACAGGUUAGGGUUUCCAAGUCUUUCCAUUCUCCCCUUCAGUCUAGAGAGAGAACCCUAGCCUUCACCUAUGAGAUCUCCACCAUCUUAGUGCCUAGACACAAGGAAGAGUCAUCGGGCAUAAUAACAUAGUGUUUAUGAGAUCCAUUAUGACUUUGGAGUUAUAUACAUCGAUUGGAAUUGAUCUAAGAACAUCCAGAUCAAAAGUAUGUGGCUUUAUUCUCUAUAUCUAUGUUUUUUAUUGUAUCUAUAUUGUUUUUUAAUACCUAUUUAUCCAUUGUGAUAGAUUUAGAGAGCCUAGGAUAGAUUUGCAUGCAACCUACACGAUCCAAGGCAUGAGAACAAAGUAAUCUAGGGUUCCCAACAAAUGGUAUCAGAGCCCUUGGGUAGGUUUUAGCAUGUUAGAUUUAUUUUAGGGUGUGCUAACUCUGUUUUACAGGGUUGUUUUCUUUAUCCCAUAGCCAUAAAUGAUGAAUGAAUGAAAUUAUUCAUUCAAUGAAAUGUAUUAAUAUAUUUGGAUUGAUUGAUUGUUAUUGAUUCAUUUGAAUGAAAAAAUAUGAAUGGAUAUAUUUUAUGCCUUUUGAUUCUUCAUAUUGGGUUGUACACCCCAUAAGGGGUAUAUGAUUUUUAUUUGGUUGUAAAAUUAUUUUAUUUUCAAUAGAUGGGUUGUAAGCUCCUUUAUAAGAGCAUAAGAAUUUUUAUUAUUGUGAAAAUUUCAGUUUUUGUAUCCAUCUAUGGUGACCCAAGAGAAAAGAAGGAAUCUUGAAAGUUCCUUUUGAGAUUCUAUGGUGGUUAACGUAAAAAAAAGCAUUCUAGGAAGUUCUUGGCUUGAGAUCCUUGGCAGCCUAGUGAUGUUGACUUGAACUCAAAAUCGGGACUACCUCCCAGUAGCUUCUUAGGUCAAGCCACAUAUGUAUUUGAAGCUUAGAAAGUAAAAAAUCCAAUGGUUCAAGUGGAUUGUAAUUCGGAGUUGAAAUGAGGGAGAUAUGAUCGAAUGAAGCAAGUAUGCACAAAGUGUGUGACAACAAUGACGUCAACUUUGAGCCAAAAUAGGGCUACUUCCAAUUAUUUUCUCAGGGAAAAUGACAUAUGAUUUUGAAGUUUGGGAAGUCAGGAAUCAAAUGCUUUAAACGGAUCACAAUUUGGAGUUGAAAUGAGGGAGAUAUGGCCAAUUGGAGUAAUGUUGCACAAAGAGCAUGUUGUUAUGGGAUUGCAUACAGGUCCAAUUCUUUUUGGUUGUUUGGGCUAAAUUUUGGGCCUCUUCUUGGGCUUUAGUUAUUUAUUUUUUUUGUGGCAAUUUUGGACUUUUGGUUUUGCUAUUUUAACUAACCCAAUUUUUGGUUGUAGGGUUAUUUUUGGUAAUUUGGAUUUUAUCCAAAUUUUAGUUACCAAAUAUGCAACAUGAUCCCUAAAGGUCAUGGGAAAAGUUUCUAUUUAUUAUUCCCUUGUUUUUAUUAUAUGCUAUUGAUUAAUUGCAUAUGCGGCCUUAAGAUAUUUUAGUAUUCUCAGUUGGAAAUAAAUUUUCAUGUUUUUUUCAAAAUUGGAAAACUAAUUUAAAUUAGAAUGUGCAUGGUUGGGAAAUUUUAUUUUAAAGAAAAGAUAAGUUGGAAAAAUGAUUAAAAACUUUCUUACCUUUUUUAAAAUUAAUUCUUAGAUAUUUUAAUUUUAUUUAAAAUCUUCUUAAAUAUUUGAGAUCUCUAAGAAUAAAAUCUUUCUUUUAAGGAAAAACUCUUAUUUUUUCAAAUCUUUAUAAAAUAGUAUUUUUCAUAUUUUACACAAGAUUCCGAUUUAAAGAGAAUAAGUUAAUUUUGGAAAUUCAUGAUAUAUUAUUUAUAAUUAAGAAUGGUUACGAAAAAGGCAUUUAAAACCAAAAAAAAAAGUUUUUUGGUAUUCUUAGUAAAUUUUUAUGAGAAGAUAUUUUCCAAGAUUAUCUUUUUAAACUAGUUGUUGCUAAGAAGAUUGAUAUUUCUUUAGAACUAUUUGCUUAUUAAACUUUAGGAGGUUUUCAUUCUUUCUUGGUGAGAGAAGGAAAAUUAUACCUAUAGUUGGUCGGCCAAGCUCUACCCUAGAGAGGAGGAAACCAUUAUGUUUGGAUAGUUCAAUUAUAAGGAAUAAAGGAGCAACUCUUUUAGCAUAUGAGUCCUGAUUUAAAAGUAAAUGGAUUUGGAAAAUCUCAUGAUAGAGAAUUUAUGAUAAGAAAGUUUACCAAAAUAACUUUGGAAAUUUUUAGUAAUUUAAUGGAGAUAUAAAAUAUUUUAAAAAUACUUUCCAAAAUGGAUUGUUUAAUUCAUUUUUGGAAAUAAACAUUUUUUUGGAGUUUUUUCAUAGAAAAUAUUUUAUCUAUUAAGGAAUUACUAAAAUGUUCUAUUUUUGGUAGUAUUUAAUAGAAUAAAUUAUGAUGGAAUUUCUAGGAAAUAUUUAUUAAGUUGGAAAAGUGUAAGGAAUAAGGAAAGUAAAUCUUAUGAGAAUUUUUUAAUAUGAGAAGCAAAAGUUCCUUUCUUGGAUAAGCUACCCUCAAAAUUAUUCAAAAUAUCCUAAAUUGGUCAUUUUAUUAUUACGCAAGAGUUUCCAAUUUGGAAAAUAAAUAUUUUGGAAAUUUUCAUUAGAGAUAUUUUAUCAUUAAAAGAUUAUUACCAAAAGGGUUAGUAAUUUGAUGGAAAUAAAUUUCUUUGAAACAUUUCCUAGAUAAAAUAUUUAUUAAUUGGAAUUGUGUAUAUAAAAUGAGAAUUUUAUGAUAAUAGAUUUUAAAAUUUUGAGAGUGGAUAUUUUAUCAAAAUUCUUUUUGAAAAUCACUCUUAUAGAAAUUUUAAAUUUUUCAUGUUGGUUUCCUAUUACACUAGGUUUCCAAUUAGGAAAUAAAUAUUUUUGGAAAAUUUCAAACUAGAUAAUUUAUUCAUCGAAUAAAUUACUAAUGGUUUUAAAGUGCUCUUAUUUAUCUCAAAAGAUUAAGUAGGAGAGGGCCUUAGGCAAGCCCACAACCUUCAUUAUCAAGCCCAUCUUGAUUUGGGUUCAUCACCACUCCCACGGUGGGUUAGCCCUAAGAAUCAGGAGAUAUGGACUCUUUACAUGGACAAGACUAGAUAUGUCUGUAGUGGGAGCGACCAUCCCUAUGGUGGGGUUUUUUACUUGGUGACAUUAAUAGUUCAAGGACAAUGGUUAUACACUUGACAUUGGAUAUGAAGUGGUGUAAUCGCCCUAUGCGGUCCCACUUGCAUAAUUUAUGGGCCAAAUAAAAGGUAUGUUGAUCUUGCCUUUACAUACCUUUAUGGUUAAGGCAUGGAGAUCAAUUUGAGAGGGUCUCUAACUAUUAAUAAGGUCAUGACCUGCCCCACCUAGGCUUGAUUCUUAUAAUACUAGGAUACCUUGUAAAAGGACAUGUAGUUUGAGAGCGUUACAUUUGUGCUAAAUUAAUUACCAAUUGCCAUGAAUGGUCAAUUAUGUCAUAUGCUUGGUUAUAUUCUUUGUUAUAGAUAUCAUGUUAUUUCUAUUAUCACUCUCCUUCUCACAAUAGGCUAAGCCCACCUAAUCAAUUAGACUAAUUUUAUUUUGGAUAUAGUAACUAAUUGCAUAAAAGCUAGUUUAGGUAGAGAUAACUAUUCCUUAUGAACUAGCCUAGCAAAAGAAAAGAGUGGUAUAUCAAGUUGGUAUUGAUAGAUUAGAAGACAAAGUGUUUAAUACUUGGAUCUUUGGAUAAUGUGUUGCAAUAGCAACACAUGCCUAUUACUAGAGACUUUAAUAUUCUCUUUCUAGUUUGCAAUGGUUAUUUGGUGAUAAUGGUAGGUCAGCCUUGACAAGCUACUCUUAGUACUAUUAUGAAUACUAGGUAUUCAUAUGAUCUUAGAGACCUUGCCAUUUUCCUUUGGGAUGGCUAAGGAGAUUCUCAAAGAUUAUAAGGUGUUCAUAUGGGCGCCAAAGGUUCUUCAAGUUCUUCUAUCAAGAAGAAGAAGAACAAUACCAAAUAAGAAAAGUUUAAGAGAAGGAAUAAGAGAGUAAGAUUUGGGGCAAGAGAUUCCUUUGUGACCUUUUAGGACACUAGAAAAAGAAAUGCCUAGUUUAUUUAAAGGAAAAAGGAAAGUAUACAUCAUUUUCUCAUUGUUGAAUAUUUAAUGAUGGAUAGAUUCUAAGUCCAUUGUUUGUAAGUCCUUAUAGAAUGUACAACAAGUGAGAAGAUUAAAUGAUGGGAUCAUAGUUACCUUAACUUCAAAUACAAGGUUAGUUAUGUAGGUAAGUGGGAGGUUAUAUCCUCUUCUUUUAUAUGUAUUCCAUUAUCACUUUGCCAAGUUUUGAGAACAAUCAGAUCUCAUGAUUAAACCUAACUCUAAUUAAACAUUUGGUUUCUAGACCUAAGUCAUAUUAAUAUAAAUAGGAUUCAAAGACUGGUAAAGUUUAGACUCUUUGAUUCCAAAAGAUCUUUUAGUCUAUGAAUCCUAUAUAGAUGGUAAAAUGACCAAGAAGACUAGAGCCAAGGAAUGUUUGGAGUUAGUGCAUAUUGACAUGUAUGGGUAUUUCAUCACUUUUAGUGAUGAUUACUCUAGGUUUGGAUAUGCACAUAGGAGAUUUGAGGCCUUGGAUACAUUCAUUGAAUUUAAGGCGGGAUCAGAUAACCUAUUGGGCAUGCAUACCAAGUCACUUCAAUUAGAUCAAGGUGAUAUGUCUAGUAAGUUUGAUUAUUUCUUAGUCAUGUGCACCAAGGUCUCCAUUGCAAAAUGGAGAGGUGAAAAGAAGAUAUCAAACUUGGUUAAACAUAGUGAGAUCAUGGAUAGGUUUUUUUUUUUUUUUUUUUUCCUGGAUUCUUUUGGGGAAAUGUCUUAUAAACUGUGUGAUUCCUCUUUUUCUUAGGAGGUAUAUCGGUUUAUAGGAUAUCUAAGAGGAUUUUUGGGUUAUUACCUUUAUAGUCAAGAUCAUAAGAAGAUAUUUGUUGACGUAAAUAUAAGAUUUUUUUUUAAGACUAUAUGAUAAGGAAUAAGACAAAGAGUGAUACAAAUUGGAGGAUAUAUUAGAAGAUAGUCCCACAUUGCUUAGGAUAUUAUGGAUCCAAAGGGUUAAAGAAAUACCAUUCCUAUGAUUUCUAGUACACUAGUGCCUCAUCAUAGUGGGAGGUUCAUAUCCCAUAGAUUAGGAUGAAAUGGUGAGCAAUGUUUGUGCUCAUUUAAGGUAAGGAGCUAUCAAAAGGUAGUUAGAAUCUUUGUAUUCUAACAUAGUUUGGGUUCUUGUAAAAGCACCUAAAGGGAUAAAACUCAUAGGUGUAAGUUGGUGUAAAAGAGGAACACAUGAGUAGAUGGAAAGCUUGAGUUUUAUGUGACUAAGAUUGUUGCUAAAGGUUAUAGUUUGAAACUUUGUUUCAACUAUGGAAAACCUUUUCAAUAGUGGUCAUACUCAAAUCCAUCAUAUUACUCCUAUCUAUUGUAAUGUGUCACAUUUGUAAGAUACAAAAACCAAACAUUUUCAUGACAAAGGGCCUUGUAUGUACAAGAAGGCACAAGGAAGCAUGGUGAUGCUCUAAGAUCUUGUUGGUAGAUGACAAUAUGCUCAUUUGAUAUGAAGUAAGGAUAUUGUCAUCAACCAAGAUUUGGUAGUUUACUCAGUUCUAUAUGAAAAUCUAGAGGAAGAUGCAAUAUAUUCUUGGGGUUAAGGUCUUGCAAGAAUAGGAAAAUUGCACCAUGUCACUUACAUAGAUAAGCAUUUGGUCAAGCACAUGACGCAAAACUCCAAGAAAGGUUUGUUGCUCUUUAG
rnacentral:lncRNA from 1 species